AUCCCUGGUUUCUUUCAACCAACCAUCAAAGUAAGCUUGAUUGGAGAUAGGGGUGGGUUUUGCUGUCUCAACUUGGCUAUCUUUUAACCAGCCAUCAAGGUAAGCCUGAUUGAAAUUGUGGGUACUCUUUACCUUUUGAUUAUUGGUAUUUUUCAACCAUCCAUCAAGGUAAACUUGAUCGGAUGUAGGGGUAGAUUUUGCUUUCUCAACUUGGGUAUCUUUUAACCAUCCAUCAAGGUAAACUUGCUUGGAGUUUUGUGCAGUCUUUUCCUUUUGAUCCUUGGUAUCUUUCAACCAUCCAUCAAGGUAAGCUUGAUUGGAAUUGUGGAUAGCUUUUUGGUUUUCGUCAGGAGUAUUUUUCAACCACCCAUCAAGGUAAGCAGAAUUAGAAUUACGGGUUGAUUUAUGUUGGUGAUCCAGGGUGUUUUUCAACCAUCCAUCAAGAUAACUUGGAUUAGAGUUAGGGGUGAGUUUUUUAUUUUUCAGUGGAGUGUUUUUGAGCCAGCCAUCAAGGUAAGGCUGAUCGAGUUGUUUUUCUUCUAUACUCUCUUGGUGAAGCUUCAUAUCUCUAGCAUAGCCUCUAUUUUCACUCUACAAUGCAAUUGAAUAAAGGGAUAUUAAUGAGUGACAACUUAAUUACAUGUUUAGGAUGAUAUAUAUGAUCACAUACAAACACAAGUGUUUUAUGUGACGCAUUCUGCUAGUGAGGUAACGUUCAUUAUGCAUAUAGCAGAUAGAUACAAAAUCUGAAACAAAGAAUAGAGGGAAUAAUACUCUUUUGAAUUUAGUUACAGCAAAUAACAUCAUUCUAUCGAUUCGAGUAGAUCAACUCGAAUGCGAGUGUGAAGAAUGCACAUAAAACAGCUAAAGAGGAGGAACUUAGAAGCAUGCAUUAAAUUCAAUGAUUAACAAUGUUAAUAAUGAUAUAAAAGCAUUUAAGAAUGCAUGCAAACUCACGAUUAACAAGAGCAUAAUAUGAAAGCAUUUAAGCAGGCAUGCAAAGUGAGUACUCACGAUUAACAAGAGCAUGACAAAUGUGAGGAGAGAAAGAACAACCCUGCGUUCCAUAUCUUUCUGCUAUAUUAAGUGUGGGAAAGCUGUUUUACUGCGAAAGAUGCACUGAAGUGGAAGUGAGCUUAGCUUUUUGUAAGCGAAAGAUUAAGAAAAGUACAAGUGAUGAGCUCAUUAAGCUUAGGUGAAUUCACAAGUUUUUCUAGAAGUCACUUAAUUGAAAAUUAACUCUUCAUCUUUGGUGAUUUGGGUUCGAGAUCGACACACUGUAAAAAGAACUUAUGUGAAUCCCUUCAUCAGCAGCUUUUAUUUUUUGACUUCCUUUUAAUUAUUACUAGUUUUUAUUGAAAAGACUUCCUUAUUAUUUUAUUUAUUUAAUUAGUUGUAUACGGGGAUCUUAAGUACUAAAUAAUCUGUUGAGCUUGGUAACGCAAGCUUGUGACCUAAGUAGGGGCAUUAAGAUGUUGGAAGGUCUUUGAUGUGUGAAAAAAAAAAAGAGUUGUGUUAUAUGUACAACCAAAAUUGAACAACUAAUGCAACAUCCUUUGAUAACGUGAGAAGCACGCAAAUCAAAAUUAUUAAAAAUAUAUUAAAAAAUUGCAAAAGAGUUGUUGGCUGUACCAAAAUGAUGUUCAUAUAUCAUUCAUUACUAAAAAAAAAAUACUAAAUGAACUAUUUAGUAGUACCCGGUGGCCGGUAGGACGGCUGAAACGAUAUACUAUGAAAUAUGGAUGUUAGUUACUUAGUCAGUAGUCAGUGAUAUCAAAGAAGGCCAAUGUGGCACAGCCACCUACGAUACUCAACAACACAUGAAGGGAACAUUUCCAUAUUUUGUGAAGACGAGGCCAGAACAGCAUACAUCAUGAAUCAUGACUUUUCGUUGUGGUACGAGAAACACCAAUAUAGUAGAGUACAGCAGUUGCAAUACUUAAGUAGAUAACCUGACAUAUGUGGAUAAUUUUAAUUAUUGUUAUAUUUAUAUAAAAAGCAGUAGUUGUUAAUGUAGUUGUUAAGGAUGUGUUUGGAUGAAAGAUUUCGAAAGGAAAGGGAGGAGAGAACUUAUUUUUCUUUUUCAAGUAUUUACAAUGCUAUUUACAGUGAUUUUUUGAUUUAACGUUAAUUUAUCAAAUUUGACCAUAAUCGAAUGUUUAAUCGCUUAGAAUAAGUCGUUCAGUUGGUAUGAACAAUACAUAAUACAUGCAAGGCGUUUAAAUUCCGGCCACUACCAAAAAAAAAAAUGGCUUAGAAUAAAGUUCAACAAAUGAUGUAGCAAUCUUAUUGACAGAUCUAGUAAUUUGACAAGCAGUGUGUGUAACAACAAGUGUUGUAAUGGAAACAAUAUCGAAUUACGAGAACUAAACUAAGAGUUUGUGAGGAGUUAAAAGAGAGAAACAUACAAUUAGUACUUUGUAUUAGGACGAAUAUCAAUAACCAAAUAAAACAAGUGUAAGCUAAAAACAUGGAGGGUUUGAAGUAGUAAUAAUAAAAGGACAUAUUGAUGAAAUAGAUGACAAGCAACGUCUGCAAUCAAAGCACCACAACUGACAUAGCUUCAAACAGAGAUGAUGAAAUAAAUUUUAGUUUAAAAAUAUGGGACUGAAAAGUUAUCCGAAUGAUCAAAUAACCUGCAGGGAAAACGAAAAUGACUCCAAAUAAAUUUGAAGAAACGCCAAGAACUGUAUCACAUUUUAAAGGUGGAUCAAUAAACUAUGUUUGGGAUCACAGAAACAUAAUGUGGAACACCAAUGGAAGUCAAACAAUGAAUCUCCAUGUACUGAUACUAUACUAGAACAUUUCAAGUUCUCUAUCAGACAUUUUAGGCCAGGAGUCACCAAAAAUUGCUUUGGAAAACUAAUUUAUGCCGUUCCUGAAAAAUUUACAAUCAUCUAAGGGCACAAAGAAUCAGACACUGUUGAAGCCGAAAGACGACUUGCAUAUUUUGUUGCUUCCACGUUUGAUCAUAAAAACAUCAGGGAAAUGAAAUUGCCACCCUUGGACAACAAUGGAAGUGUUGAUCACACAAAGACAAAGCAAACAAUUGUUAAGGAAACUUCAUAAGUCGGGUAAAGUUUAAUUUGGACCCAUUGAAAAAUUGAUCCAACUUGGACCAAUUAACUUAGACCAUUGAUCAAAUAAGAUGUAUAGAUUUUAUAGUAGUCCAUCUGCACAUGAGUUGCUCUCUCACUCUUCCAGUAUCUCUCUCUCCUUUGAUACACCAUCACCAACAUUUUCUUUUCUCAUUCUUGUGCUCAGCUAUUGGCAAUUUCUUUGGACUUUACAUUACCAAAUUAACAUCGAUUCUCUAGAUGUUUACUCACCAGCAUCACCCCUCCAUUCACUCCAACCACCACACUGAUAAGCAUGUUCCAUUCCAAAAUACCAACAACCAUAACUCACAAACAAUGUGAAGAGAUUGAAGACAUAAAUAUUUUUUGCAUUAAUGUAAUUUGAUUGAGUGUGGUUAGUGUUAAAUGGCCUAAGAUUUCAACCCAAAAGUUAGCUUGUUCUGAUAAAUAAAACUGGUUUUUUCAACAACAAUUCUUACGGUGCCAUUGGUUUUUUCUACAUCCAUGUUUAUCAUUUUUGUGUCCACUUUGUUUGUUAUUUUCAACUACCACUAUCAGAACCAAAAUCUCAAAUUAAAUCAAGCUUCAGUUGUGGUUUAAUUUUAUUUAUUUGUACACAUAAUGAUGGAUAAUACAAAAUUUUAAAAGGGUAAAUUGAGAUCUGAAAAACAAUGGAUGGCAUGAACUAUGAAUGAGAGAGAAAAAUGAAUUUGUGUAUAAAUGUAACAAAAAAGAUCAGGGAUUCUCCAGCAAGAAGAAGGUUGGAGAGAGAAAGCAGAGGAGGAAAAGGGUUUUGGAGAGAGGAAGAGAAGAAUGAGAAAGAAUAAAAAUAAGAGAAUUGCUCUUCUCACAUAUAGUAUGGCUGUGCCACACGAGUAAAAUACCAAAAUGCCCUUUCGGCAGUUAACUGCCGAAGUUUUGAGUGAACCGGCGGCAGCAAACUACCGAGGAUUUCCUCGGCAGUUAAAAUUGAACAUAACCAGAACGCAGAAACUCAGUUUUCCAGUAUUGCUUGCUUCUUCAAAACUUCUUCCAAACCAUCCAACUUCUCCAAAUUCGAUUUUUCAGCAAAAUCAAGUGCAUCAUCUCCAUUUAAUCACAAGUAAGUAUCUUGACUCAUUUUUAAUCAUAAUGUUAGUUUGGGUAGGUUUUUUUUAAAAAAAAAUGGUAGUUUUCAUGUGGUUAGGGUUAAUGUAUGAAUUGAAUUUUUUAUGAGUGCAUGUAGUUUAUAAUUGAAUGUAGUUGGUUUAAUUGAUGAUUGAAUGAUGUUAGGGUAUAAUGUGGUUUUGAUUGGUGGCAAAAUAACACAUUUUGAGUAUGUUUGAUACUUUGCACACAAAGUGUUUGAUAAAAUGUGUCAAUGACAAUUUUAUUGAUUAUUUAGUUAGUUUAGGUAUUGGAUACGAUCUUGAUUGUAAUUCGAAAACGUGUAUGUUGAAUUAAGUUGAAUGCAUAUUGAAAAAGUGUAUAUUGAAUUAGGUUGAAUGUGUAUAUUGAAUUAUGUUUAGUGUAGGUUGAAUGUGUAUGAUAAUGCAUUUGAUUUUUUGCGUUUGAAUGUUAAUGAUAAUGUGUAUGAUAAUGUUUAGGUUCAAUCAAUGUCUUUAUUUUGGUAAAGUGGUUUAAUGUGAAAGCGGUUAUGUUUAGGUUAUGUUUAGGUUGAAUGUGAAAGUGUAGGUUUUGUUUAGGUUUACUGUUUGUUGAUAAAGUGGUUGAAUGAUAUUAAUUUUUAUUUUUUAUUUUUUGUAGAUAUGGCCGAUCAGGACCCCAUUGAUCCAUCGAGGAUGAUUGGUGGUAGGCGUGCCAUGACUCAGAGCCACCGCGGGGAGAGACAGAGUGCCCACAUCCCAAAGAGGGGUAGAGGUCGGAGGGGAGAUGACUCAGGAAGCUCUCAGGCUACACAGCCUGAGGAGUCACAGGUUGUUGACCCGUCACAGCCUGUUGACCAGACUGGGGUGGAGUACCUGAACUAUCAGGAUCAGGUACAUCAUGAUGUGACGGACGGUGGAUAUGACCAGGAUCAUAUACCACAUGAGCAGGAUGCAGGAGACGAGGAUGACAUUGCAGCAGCUGCUGCACCGGAGGUGUUACCUACGGACCCUCCCUUUCCUGGUGGACCGGCUGACUUGUCCUUGCUCCACUCUUAUGCCGGUCAUGUGGCGUUGCCACUCUGGUAUAAUUCAAAUAAUGUAAGUGUAUUUUUUUUAAUUGUUUUUUCUUUAUGUUAAAAUAUUUUCUUUAAUUUAAAUGUGUGUUUGUUUAAUUAUUAUAUCCACUUUUAUAUGUGUUUUUUUUAAUUGGUGUUUCUUUAUGUUAAAAUAUUUUCUUUAAAUGUGUGUUUGUUUUUAUUAUUAUAUCCACCUCUAUAUUUGUUUUUUUUAAUUCUUUUUCUUUAUGUUUAAUUAUUUUCUUUAAAUGUGUGUUUGUUUUAAUUAUUAUAUACACUGUUAUAUGUUUAUUUUUUUUAAUUCUAUUUUUUAUGUUUAAUUGUUUUGUUUAUAUGUGUUUUUGUUUAAACCAAAUUUAUUUUUCUAUUAUUUCAGGUUCGUAAUACCCGCGUGCUUAAACCGAUUAAUCAUGGGGCGAAGAUUCUCACUCUCGGACGCCCUAACGGGAAUGAGAAUUGGUUUUGGGAUGCGCUUCAGCAGAGCGGGCUACAUGACUUGGUCUACUUGGGGUACUCCACCGUGCCUCAUGCCCUGCUGCUUACUUUAUGCGAGAGGUGGCAUCCGGAGACCAGCACCUUCCACAUGCCGAUGGGGGAGAUGACUGUGACAUUGGAUGAUGUCGCAUGUCUCAUGCAUCUUCCUAUUGAGGGGCGGAUGUUGGCCCAUGGGAAGAAGAUGCCCAAGCAUGAGGGAGCGGCACUGCUGAUGACGUAUCUUGGUGUGGCCCAGCAUGAGGCUGAGAAGAUCUGCAACCAGGAGUACGGUGGGUACAUUAGCUACCCCAGGCUGAGGGACUUCUAUACCUCGUACCUUGGUAGGGCCAACGUAUUGGCGGGUACGGAGGAUCCUGAGGAGGUUGAGGAGCUGGAGAGGGUCAGGACAUACUGCGUCCGGUGUUACCUUCUGUACUUGGUCGGAUGCUUGUUGUUUGGCGAUAGAAGCAACAAGCGCAUCGAGCUGAUAUAUUUGACGACCAUGGCAGACGGCUACGCAGGGAUGCGUAAUUAUUCCUGGGGAGCUAUGACCCUCGCCUACCUAUACGGCGAGUUGGCGGAUGCAUGUAGGCCUGGACACAGAGCGCUUGGGGGGAGCGUGACACUGCUCACUGUAAGAAAACUGAAAUUUUAUAUUUAUGUUAACUUUAUUUUUUUGUGAACUUUUAAUUUUUUGUUAUAUUUUUCCGUGCGUAAUAAUUUAUAAAUGUUAUUUGUUUGGUUUGUGCAGGCAUGGUUUUUGGCGCAUUUUCCAGGGUUUUUCAGUGUUGAUCUCAACACUGACUACCUGGAAAACUAUCCGGUUGCAGCGAGGUGGAAGCUCCAGAAGGGUCAUGGGGAGGGGAUCACGUAUCGGUCACUGCUCGAUCGUAUACAGUUAGAUGAUGUAUGCUGGAGGCCGUACGAGGAGCACAGAGAGAUCCAGGACUUCGAGGAGGUUUUCUGGUAUUCUGGAUGGAUUAUGUGCGGCGUCCGUAGGGCGUACCGUCACUUGCCCGAGAGGGUUUUGAGGCAGUACGGAUACGUGCAGACCAUCCCCAGACAUCCGACUGAUUUUAGGGACCUCCCCCCGCCUUCCAUUGUGCAGAUGUUCAUCGACUUCCGCACUCACACGCUUAAGGCGGACGCUCGGGGUGAGCAGGCAGGAGAGGAUACAUGGCGGGUGGCGGAUGGCUAUGUCCUGUGGUACACUAGGGUGUCUCACCCUCAGAUCUUGCCACCUAUUCCAGGAGAUCUUCCGAGGCCUGCAAAUGAAGAGCAGAUCAUUGCAGAGCAGUGGCAGCGGUAUGAGGCGAGAAGCUCGCCUGACACCUAUGACAUGGUUAGUGGCGCUGUUGCCUAUGCUGAUGCGCAGUUAGGCCAGGAGGAGGUCAUGAGCAUGACCCCUCAGCAGUGGUAUGAGGCCAUGACCCAUAUGAGGGAGCAGAUCGCGCCGAUUUUGACCAGGAGGAGAGCCCAGAGGCCGAGGAGGAGGCACCAUCAUCAGGAUCAGGACCAGUAGUACUAUUUUCCUUUUUUAGGACUUAUUUUUUAGUUUUAGUCUUUUGAUGACAUUGAGUUAUGUAUAUAUGUAUAUUUGUAUAUUUGUAUAUUUCUACUUUGAUGACAUUAUUUUUAAUUUCAUGGGUUUUUUUUACUUUGUUUAAUGUGCAAAAAUAGGUUGCUUUAAUGUGCAAAUAUAGGUUGCUUUAUGAACAUAAAACAUAAAAAUAAGUUGAGAGUAGGAAAAAUAGGGACGAGAGAGAACUUGAGAGAACUUGACAGAAUAUAAUAUAAGUGUCCCGUUGAUUUGCUCGCAAUUCGUGAAAGAAGAAUUGGCGAAGAUUUGAGAGAACUUGAGAACUUUGUGAAGGUUUUCCUCGGCAGUUAACUACCGAGGUUUUCUACGACAGUUUUCUUCGGCAGUUAACUGCCGAAAUUUUCUCAAAUCCGGCUGCAGUUAACUGCCGAGGAAAACCUCGGUAGUUAACUGCCGAGGAACUUCUGCACUACAAAAUCUGGCAGAAUCUCCUCUCAUCCAUUAUUGAUCUUAUCUUCCAAAAUUUCUUCAAAUGUCUCUCAAAUUCUCUCUAACAAACACAACCAAAUCCAACAAACUUUAUUCAACAAAAUCACAAGUAAGUAAUUAUAAUGCUAUUAACUUACAUUUUAGUUGUUAUAAAUGUUAUUAUUUUUUAGUUUUUGAGUACAUUUAUUAUUUUUUAGUAGAUUUACAUGUUAUAAUUAAAUUUUAGGGUAUAUGUUAGUUGAUUAAUGUUGUUAAAAUAUUUGCAUGAUGUUUAUGUUAUAUGAUAUAAAUUUUUUUAUUUUAGUAAGAGUAUAUGAUUUAUAAUUUUAGGGUUAUUUUUAUGAAUUUUAGAGUGUAUGUAUAAUGUGUUUUUGAUUGAUUGUUUUUAGUUUCUUAUUGUGUAGAUUUAAAACAAUGGCGGGGUGGAUCGACGUUCAUGUGCAAUUCAACGGCGGAGAACCUCAGAGGUUGAAGGUUCGGUGCCUUGGUGUAACGUUAAGAGGUCUCAAGGAUACACUGACUGAAUUCAACCAAGGAGUCAACCCCAGAGACACAAGGAUGGUGGAACACAUUUGGUAUAAACGUCCAACACUCGACGAGGGGAGAGUAUCAUUCAGUUGGGUGGAAUUAACGAACGACGAAAACGUGACGACCAUGUUUUGGGAGCACAGCAUGUUCCAGUGGAUCGAUAUGCGGGUGAAGUUGCUUAGAUCAACUGAAGAUAUCAUCAAAAGUUUGAUUCCGCCACAAGAUCGUCAUUAGUUAGGGUAAGGUGCAUUCCAACUACAACAAUUGUAUUCCUUUGAAUGAGGUAAUUCAAACUUGUCAAACAACAGGACUCAAGCAUUUCGCAAGCACCUCAUGUUUCUCCUUUGAAAAUAUUAAAUUUUUGUUAUGCUGGUUUAGAUGAAGGUAUUAAGUGUCAAGGAUUGAACCUCAAUUCGGUGGCACUUGAAUACCAUCAUCUAAAGCAAGCCUCACAAAAAUUUAUUAUUUUCAAAGGGAAAACAUGAGGUGUUUGGCGAAAUGCUUGAGUCCUGUUGUUUUGCAGGUUUGAAUUUAUCCCAUUCAAAGGUAACACAAUUGUUGUGGUUGGAAUGCACAUUCCAACUGCAACAAUUGUCUUACCCUGGAUGGGGCAAUUCAAACUUGUUAAUCGGCAGGACUCCAGUAUUCGAUGAGCAUCUUGGACAAUGGUAUUCAAGUGUCAAGGAAUGCACCUCAUUCUUUUGACACUUGAAUACCAUCGUUCAAGAUGCUUAUCGAAUACUGGAGUCCUGCUGCUUAGCAAGUUUGAAUUUGCCCCAUUCAGUGGUAAGAUGAUUGUUGCAGCUGGAAGGUAAAUUUCGGAAUGUAAUGUAAAAUGCAAUGUAAUGUGAUAACAUAUAUUUUGUUUUGAAUGGAACAAUAAUUAUCUUAUUUUGUUUUCAAAUUUAUUUAUUCCAAAUGCAAUUUUAUUCUAAAUACCAUAAUGUCAAACAAAAUGUGUGCGACACAAAAAUAAAACAUAAAAAAAUCCAAAACAAUUAGGCAUUAAAAGCCAUUACAUUCAUUCUUCCUCGUCACACAAAUCAAUCGGCUUGUCCGCUACAGUCCCUGCGGUACCUUGUUUUGGUUGAGGACCGAAAUAGCAUGUCCUCCCGCUCCUCCUCAACCUCGAGUGAUUGUACACCGGCACCUUCGAACCCUUCUUUUUUUCGGAACCAUCGCAAACAAUUCCAUGCCAUGUCAUAGGUGACUUUUCUUUUUUCGUCUCAUCAUCGUGAACGUUACCCUGAUUCUGAUUCUGAGACAUAUCUACAUUUAAAAAAAUAUGGCGAUCAAUUCAACCUACACUAACCUAAACUAUCCUAACAAUUCUAACAAUUCUAACCUAAACUAUCCUAACAUAUCAUAAAAUCAACAAAUCAAUAUAAUUGAACCUAUAUAAUCGAAAUUUAACAAAAAAUAACAUACAAUUCGACCACAAAGCAACUAUUGCAUAGAAUUCAAAAAGCUUACUUGUUUUUGUGAUUAAAAUUGGCUUCUAAUGGCUUCAAAUGACUCAAAAUCGCACCUUCAAAAAUUAAAAACGCAACAAUGGAGUUUUGGAAACUCCUAUGAAGUUCUGAUCUUAUAACAUUCUCCUCGGCAGUUAACUACCGAGGUUUUCCUCGGCACUUAACUGCCGCCGGUGUCCUAAAAACCUCGGUAGCAAACUGCCGAGGGGCAUUUUGGUAUUUUACUCGUGUGGCACAGCCAAACUAUAUGUGGGAACAGCAAUACUCUAAAAAUAAAUAUUCAUGAGUAGAAGAAGUCCGAUAUAAUGGAGUGAAUACAUGGUAAGAUCUAUAAGCUUGUGUAAUUUAAUGGUCAGAAAUCUUGAUCCAAUAUGGACCAAUACAUGUAUGGGUCCAUCCUAAACGCCACCCAUAAGUCGUGCUUUCCACCAUUCAAGAUUUACCUAUCCUUACUCAAUAAGACAAAGAUGUUGUUAAGGAAUUGUUGAAAAUACACAUGGAGGCACAAAUUCAUAAUUUGUAAACUUCAUAAGUCGUGCUACCAAAUGUGUUUCCCUUACCUCUUCCCAUUUCCACCAAAAUCCUAAAAGAAAAGAAAAAAAUGAAAAUUGGUAAAAAUUGUAGAUCUUCCCCAACACCUGAUAAGUGCUAAAUUUACAACACGUUUGGAUUCGAAGAAAACAUUGUAGAGAAAUUUCACGAAAUUUGACUUCGCCAAGUGAAAUCAAGUCAAAAACAUUUAUUUAAAUAUUUGGUGUUAACUCUUCAGCUUUUAAGAGUAAAGGGUCAUAGUAAUUUAUAUUUCAACAAGAAAGUAAGUAAAUGAUGAUCAAGAAUUGUUCCACUGAGAAUUAAACCGGCUUUUUCUGAAUAAUUUAUGUUAAAGGAAACUCAUUAACCAGUUGAGCUCAAUUCACUUUACACUUUAAAAUGAAUUGUUAAUAAGCCAAAUCUCAUUUAAAAUAGGAAGUGUUCAAUUAUUUUGGCUCUUACCGAGCAUAUAUGGAACAUGAGUUUUCCUUCAAUAUCAUAAUAAUGAUUUGCGUAUCGAACAUGAUUUGAAAUUCUAGUACUCCUACCAAGGCCACAAAGAGUAUUUUAUUUACAUAAAAGAGCAUGUUAAAGUAUUUGGCUUGAAAUAUAUAACUAAUUUUGAUACAACUCUUUUUCUAUUUCAUAACUGAAUAAUGCGAGGGAGCUGGGACGGAUGCAUGUUGUAUAGUUUGUGGGCUUGUGCCGACACAAAGUUUUUAGAAACAAUUUUAUUGGUAGUAUAAUGUAUUAAUCACAUAGACCACAUUUAUCACAAAUAAUUUAUCUCUUGACCGAUACUUAUCAUCAUAUAUCUCAAACUAUUAUUAAGAUUUGGAUACGAAAUCAAGUCGGAGAUGACCGGUUAAAUAAUUGUUUAGUUAUUUAUAUAGAUAAAAUGUUUUUUUUUAUUGAUAUUGAAAAUGAGAAAAUCAUUCAAAGUUUCCAUAAUAUGAAUAAUCGUAGAGGACAAUUUUUAAUGCUACAAAUUUUUAUAUAUAGUGCCCCCACUAGGGCUGGCAAUGAACCGAACCAACUCGAUUAAAGUUCGUAAUUCGAUUCGACAAUUGAUUCGUUGAACUUGGUUCAUAAACCAAAUGAGCCGAACUUGAGCUGAAAAUUAAGUUCGUCAAAUAAUUGAGCCGAACUUGAACUAUAUGUAGUUCGACUCGUUUGGUUCACGAGAUGACUCGAUUAUAUAUAUACUUUAAAAACUAAGACAAACACUUAGCAAUAAUAGGAUAAAAAUGAGCUACAUUAAAAUUGAUAGACAACGUCGUGCACAAUGUUGUUGUAGUUUUUAAGGAUUUUAAAACUUAAAUAGUCUCGCAUCAAAACAUCCAUGAAAAAUGAAGAAUAUGAUUAUCUAUAAUAAGAGAAACGUAUGCCACAAGAAGGCAAAACUUGAUUUGGUGGUUGCAUACCAGUGUUAAUUACUAUGUGCAAUAAUAGCCUCGUCUAGUCCAUUAAAAAUUUGUAUAAAUUUCAAUAUAUUUAUGGGUCAAAAAUUUUAAUUCUUUGACUUUUGAGUUAUGCGGUUCAAAUGGCUUUACUCAUUUUCAUACCUAAAGUUAUGUGCUUUGAACAAACGAAUUGAACCUAAUGAGCCGAACUAAACUGUUCGUGAACUUUAAACGAGCCGAACUUGAGCUGGAAAAAAAGUUCGUGUCAAACUCGAACCGAGCCAAUUCUUAACGAGUCGAGUUGAACUCAGACAGGUUCGAUUCGACUCGACUCAUUUCCAACCCUAACCCCCACUAUUCAAAAAUCCUGGAUCCGUCACUCAGAGGGAGAGGCUUGGGAUCUUUAACUUACUCUUCAAUCGGAUUGCAACCUUUUUCGUCUUAGAAAACAUACGUGAUAUAAUAAUGAUAAGGGUUAAAUAAGUUUUUCGUUCUUAUAACUAUAAAGAAUUUUGAUUUUAGUCCCUAAAAAAUUAAAUUGAAUGUUUUCAUAUUCACAAAUUUAUUUUUUUUGUUUUUGGUCAUUAAUGACCACUUUAUGUUCAUGUGAACGUCAAAAUUAUAACUUUUUUAUGCUCAAAUAGUAUCAUUAUAUGUCUAUUUAUUAUGUUCAAUAUUUAUAUAUUCAUACUAUGUUCAAAAAAUAUAUCAAAAUUAUAUGUAUUAGGGACUAAAAAUAAAAUAAUUUUUUUUUUUAGGAUGAAAACAUUUUAUUUUAAUUUUUAGGAAUGAAAAUCAAAGUUUGAUAUAUUUAUAGAGACAAAAAAUUUAUUUAACCCUUAAUAAUAUUAUUUGUAACAGAAAACGCAGUUCCUUCAUCAUCACCCGCCACAAACAUUCAGAAAUUCCGCUGCAAGGUUUUCUUUCUUCUUCUCUUCUCUUCUCUUGUAGCGAUUUCAUCCAAUCUAUUUCUAAUUUCAAUUUUCUUAAUUUCAACUUCAAUUCACACUUAAUUGCUACUGCAUUGGCUACGUUCUUUCUUGAUGAUUAAACUAACCUCACAAUCUCAAAUUCAAUUCAUACCUAAUUAAUUCAACUUCAUUCUUUCUCAACUCUUUUUCUUCACGAUCAUGAAUUCUAGCACUUAAUGUUCUGCUUUCUAAUUUGUUCUCAGAUUUAUCUUACCUUUCUUCGUUUAACAUGAAUAAACAGGAUCAAUGGACAGUGUGGUUGAUUCUCUAAAAAACGCCUAUCAAGAUUUUGUUGAUGCAGCAGCAACUGUGCUGGAAGCAAGCAACAUUUCCGGUGCCCUUGAUACCGCAGCAACAGAUACCGCUCUCAAAAGCUUUAAACAAAAAUGGGAAUUGUUUAAAGUAGCAUGUGAUCAAGCCGAGGAGUAUGUGCAGUCUGUAAAGCAAAGGGUAGAAUCAGAGAGUUUAGUAGUGGAUGCAGAGAUGUUGUUGGAAAGCAUAGAGAAGCUACAUAACUGAUUAAUGCACAUAUAUGAGGUUAGUCGUGCGUUGUAGAAUUUUGAACUGAUUUUGUAUGUGCGCAAUGGUGGCAUAUGUAACAUUGAAAUUAGUGAGAAUCAUCUUGAUUGAGUGAUGGAUAGGUAUACUUCUUUGUAGUGUGCUAAGGUUAAUGCCACGGCACUCAUUGGUGUAGCUGCUUUAUUGAACCAUUGAUGCUCAGUACUCUUAGCUCAAUACAUUGUAUGUUAUCUUUAGAUUUGUUUUAAUUUUGCUAAUACAUUGGGUUUUUGAAACCAAAAGAAAUCUCUAUAUGUUUGAUAUGGUUUAUUUGAAUAUAUAUAUAUAUUUAUAGUCACACAUUGGUACUGAAAAAGAUACAACGUGCGACUAGAUUGCGAGUUCAAAUUAAAUAAGUGACUAUAUACAUCAAUUUAACUCCCAAUAAUAAAAUAUGGCACCAGAUUAGUCUUUUGAUAAUCUCAUGGUCUAUAUAGAAAUUAUUAUAAUGUCAUCUUCAUGAUUGCACAGCUAGCUAAAUUUAAUACGCAGAAACAAUACCUUAAUUAGUACACAAACACGGCCUUAAUUAGCACACAAACAAGACCUUAGUUAUUUAGUACGCAGAAACUAGACCUUAAUUAGUACACAAACACGGCCUUAAUUAGUACAUAAACAAGACCUUAAUUAUUUAGUACACAGAAAUUAGACCUUAAUUAGUACACAAACACAACCUUAUUUAGCACACAAACAAGACCCUACAAUACAUAGAAAAUCAUAACAGUUAAACACCAUGAAGCAUAGGGAAUGACAUAGAAAUAUGAUCAACUAGUUCCCUUUGGUUCAGUGGGUGGCCUCUGGUGGGAGUGGUGCCCAUAGAACAUGCUUUACAGGGAAGAAAUGGCACAUAGGAGCUUCCCCAGGCUUUAUUCCAAGUAGUUGAAAUAUAAAAUGAUUAGGAUUCAUGUCAGACGUGUCUAGGUGGCAAAUGCCCAAAGCAUCCAUUAUGUCUCCAUAUUGACCCUUUAGAAGAACUUUGAAGACCUUACUCCCUAUGUCUAGGUAGUGGCAAUAGUAAAGAGCAUAAGGGUAAGGCCUAGGGUGACAAGCUACCCAUUUAGGAGCAUAGAUAUCCUUUGAGAUUUUCAAAAUGGUGUAGUUCUGCAAACGUGCACCUGAUGUUGUGGGAUAGCUAGUUGUGUGAAUGUUAUAUCUGGCCUCAGUACCAAGAACACUAUGAACAAAUUCAAGCAUGGACUCUAAUGAAGUAGGACAAGCUUUGGUCUCCCCUUUUGUGGGUUCAAAUUCACAUUGAUCAAUUAUGUCUUUCAUGUCUUCACCUUGGGGGGAAUCUUUUGUGAGAGAGAAGAGUUGAAGAAGGCUUGGUAGUUGUGACUUGGAGAAAGGAAUGUAGUCAGCUACUUUUUUUGGCAAGAAGUUAGCAUAUUCUCUGACAGGAAAUUGCAGCGUCAUUACGUUCCCUACAUAAAGAUCAUCCAUAGUGAAAAAAGCUAACUUGAAUGCCUCUGUAUGGUCAACUUUAGAAGAUGGUUUCCCUUUUGAUUCUGCCAUGUCUUGUCCAAUUUUCUUCAUGGAGUUCGCUGCAUGCGAGUCUUUCAACCAACCAUCAAGGUAAGCCUGAUCUAGGCUGUGAAUUGGUUUUUUCAUUUGAUCCUUGGCAUCUUUCAACCAUCCAUCAAGGUAAACUUGAUUGGAGUUAGGGGUGGAUUUUACUUGCUCAACUUGGCUAUCUUUCAACCAUCCAUCAAGAUAAACUUGAUUGGGAUUUGGGGUCGAUCUUGCCUUGUCAACUUGGCUAUCUUUCAACCAUCCAUCAAGGUAAACUUGAUUGGAGUUAGGGGUGGAUUUUCCUUGCUGAACUUGGCUAUCUUUCAACCAUCCAUCAAGAUAAGCUUGAUUGGAGUUUGGGGUCGAUUUUGCUUUCUCAAGCUGGGCAUCUUUCAGCCAGCCAUCAAGGUAAACUUGAUUGGAGUUAGGGGUGGAUUUUCCUUGCUGAACUUGGCUAUCUUUCAACCAUCCAUCAAGAUAAGCUUGAUUGGAGUUUGGGGUCGAUUUUGCUUUCUCAAGCUGGGCAUCUUUCAGCCAGCCAUCAAGGUAAACUUGAUUGGAGUUAGGGGUGGAUUUUUCUUUCUCAACAUGGCUAUCUUUCAACCAUCCAUCAAGAUAAACUCGAUUGGAGUUGUGGGUGGGUUUUGCUUUCUGGACCCGGCUAUCUUUUAACCAGCCAUCAAGGUAAGCCUGAUUGAGGUUGUGGAUAGUUUUUUCCUUUUGAUCUUUGGUGUCUUUCAACCACCCGUCAAGAUAAACUUGGUUGGAGUUUGGGUUGGAUAUUUCUUUCUCAACUUGGCUAUCUUUCAACCACCCGUCAAGGUAAACUUGGUUGGAGUUUGGGGUCGAUUUUGCUUUCUCAACUGGAUCUUUCAACCAUCCAUCAAGGUAAACUUGAUUAGAGUCAGAGGUGGAUUUUGCUUUCUCAACUUGGGUAUCUUUUAGCCAUCCAUCAAGGUAAACUUGAUUGGAGUUAGGAGUGGAUUUUGUUUUCUGAACUUGGGUAUCCUUUAACCAUCCAUCUAGGUAAACUUGAUUGGAGUUGUGGGUGGUCUUUUCCUUUUGAUUCUUGGUAUCUUUCAGCCAUCCAUCGAGGUAAACUUGAUUGGUGUUGUGGAUAGCUUUUUUGUUUUCUUCAGGAGUGUCUUUCAACCAUCCAUCAAGAUAACCUGGAUUAGAGUUUAGUUUUUUGUUCGUCAGUGGACUGUUUUUAAGCCAGCCAUCAAGGUAAGGCUGAUCGACUUGUUUUUCUUCUACAUUCUCGUGCUGAAGCUUCAUAUCUCUAGCACAGCUUGCAUGGCCAUUCUACAAUGCAAUUGAAUAAAGGAUAUUAAUGAGUGACAACUUAUAUUCAUGUUUUGGAUGAUAGACAUGAUCACAUAACUAAGCAUAACUAAGUGUUUUAACUUUUAUGUGACACAUUCUGCUGCACUGUGAAGACACGUUUAUUAUGUAUACAUCAGAUGGAUACAAUUCGGGUCAACCACUAUUUUGAUCUUUAAAUGUGAGACAAUUAAUGGAUGCGUUUGCUUUAGCUUUAAAAAAAUAAUUUGAUUUUGUGUUAAAAAAAUCUCUGUUUUUUUUUUAAAGUUAUUUAUGUUUGUUUAAUACAAAUAUUUUUUUUAACUAGUUCAUGUGUUACUCCCUUGUUUUUGACCAAAAUAAAUUUUGGGAAAAACUAAUUCUAACGGUUUUUCAUUUUAAAGUCAAAAAUGAUUUUUUAAAAAUCCUAAACAAACACUUUAAAAUGACAAAAGUAAGUUUUUUUUUUUUUAAUAAAAAAUCCUAAGCAAACUUAUCCAAUAUCAACAUAGUCUUUCCUUUCAAAAAAAAAAAAACAUAGUCUUUGAAUGUAUGAAAGUUACAAACAUUUCCUCUAGUAAGUAAGUAAUUUGAAGGAUUGAAUUGACUAAUGAGCAAUAUUGAAAGACUGGUGAUUAACUAAAGACACAUUUGAGAACUAAAUUGAGUUAUAAAAAAAAAAGAUUUUGGCAUGUAAAAUAGUUAUUUACCCGAUGCAAACCUGAACCUGUAAAUAUCAUUUUAUCACAUCUAACGGAUCAACUCGAAUGUGAGUGUGAUGACUGCACAGAAAACAACUGAGUGUAUCUUAAGAAACAUGCAUGCAUUAAAAGAAACAUGCACAAUAGCUAAUAAAGGCGAAUAUUAAUGAUGGAUUAUGAUAAGUAAUAAACGAUGAAAAGUGCAAAUGUGAAAGAUACAAGCAUGCAUGCAAAUUGAGUAGAGUAACUCACGAUUAACAAGAGCAGGACAAAAGGAAGGAGAGACCGAACAACUUUGUGUGUCAUAUCUUUGAGCUAUACUUUAAUUAUGGGAAAACUGUUUUACUGCGAAAGAUGCUUUGAAGUGGAAGUGAGCUGAUCCUUUUAUAAGUGAGCGAGAAGAAAAAAUACAAAUAAUGAACACAUUAAGGGUCUGUUUGGUAAAUAACCAUAUAGCUUAUAACUCUUUUGAAGGAGUAUCUCUUAUAACUUAUAAGUUCAUCAUACUUCAUAUGACUAAAAAAUAUCCGUUUAAUAAUUGUCAUUUUCUCUUGAGUUUAUGACUUAUUUUUAUUUACAUUUUUGUAUAAACUAAUUCAAGUAGCUUAUUGCUUAUCAAUUUUUCCCUCAAUUUUAUUAAGAUUAUCUUAAUGGAAAAACUAAAACAUUUAUUAAACAUAAGCAAAAAUGACUUUUUUAUGUCAUUUGAUAUUUAUAAGCUAAUUCAACUGUUGAUUCUAUCAAACACUACAAAUUCAGUAGCAACAAUGGAGAAGUAGCAACAAUUGAUAAAAACCAUAAUACUUCCUCCAUUUCGGAACAAAUGACGUUUAAAGUUUUUAUACACUCUAUUAAAAAUAUAAUGACUAGAAGAAAAAUAAUUGUUAUAUUAUCCUUAUUAAUUGUUGAUUUGUUUUCCACUAAGUAAAAGUAAUGCUUAGGGAGUAGAGUGCAUAGUAUUAGUUGGAAGGUAUAAUUGGAAAGAAAAUGUUAACAUUACAUUGGAAAUUAAAAAUGAUAUUCAUUUUAAAAUAAUUUUUUUUUGUUAAAGUGACACUCUUUUUAAACCUAGGAAGUAAUUAAUAUAAGAAGAUGCUAAGAAGUGUCUUUAAGGUAUUGUUUAAGCAUUCAAAAGCAGUAACUUUUACAUUAGAAAUUGUCCAGUUAUGACUUUAAGAUCGGUUUGACUUGUAUUUUCAAGACCAACCAUUUUUUGCAAGUUCUUUAAACAAUGCCCUUAAGAUACUUGUUAGCAUAAUUAUCAAUUUUUUAAAGGAUUGAAUGAGGAAUUUUAAUAAGAGUCUUCAUUGAUGGAUGAGAAAAACUAAUUAAUUAUUUGUAGCCUGGAGGGCAUAUGAAAGGUUGAAUUUCAAUUUUGAAAGCAAUGCAAUAAGUAGGAUUUAGGGUGGGACUGCACACGUGGAUAGGUCAAUUGGGAGAGGUUGGAAGGGAUUUACAAAAUAAUUUCUCUGGAACGAACUAUAAACAAAAAAGGUUGGUGAAAAGUUGAUAUAUUAAAUUUUUAACUACAUACAUUGAAUUUUUAAUUAUCAUUUUUACUUAUAUUUUAUUUCGGAUGUAUUACACGGAAAUUAGGGUUUGGAUUAGGUCUUGGAGACUAUUCAAAUAUUGGAAAUAAAGGAUAAUUAACUUCCUUAACUGAAACCUAUAAAUGUUUUAGUCAACCCUCGUUUUAAGAGAGAAAUUUCACCUUUUCUCUAAAUAGUCACUUUGAGUCACGGAAUCAUCCAACUGAAUUGUUUUCUCUCUUAUACUAUCUAAAUUAGUGGUUUCCACCUAAAUCUAAUUUUCCUUUAUGUAAUUUUCCAUUAUUAACGUUGCUUUGUUCGUCAUCUUGUCUCGUUAUCGUUUGAUUUUUUCGUAUGUUGUAGUGUUUGUUUGGGUUUGGAUUGACCGGUAAACUUUUACCCAUUAGAGUUAAUGACUUAAGUGUCAAUGUUAUAGAUGUAAAUUUUUUUUGAAGGAAUAAAUUUAAAAUAUUGAUAUUUUAAUUCCUUUAAUCGUCACAUUUGUAGAUAUUUUAAUCCCUUCCUUUAUGCUAUUCUUGAUGUAUUAUGUCAAUUUAAAUAAAUGGAUUUUUUCCUUGAUAGUACAAAAUAUGAAUACAUAACACCGACUGGACGGCUGAAACCAUAUGCUAUGGAUGGAUGUUAGUUAGUAAUGAGUAGUGAUUAUCAAAGAAGACCAAUGUGGGGGUCCACAUUGGAGUGGUUUGAAAAUAUUUGCUGUUUAGGAAUGACACAAGUACACAUGAUCCUCAACAACCCAUGAAGGCAACGUUUUUAUAUUGGUUUUUUUUAAAUUACCUUUGAAGAAUGGUGGGUAAUUUACCCACCAACCAAUGAAAAUGAGCAAUUUAUUUGUGGGGUCAAGAUAGUUCAUGAAUAUGUGCUUAUGUGGCUAAUGUGUAUUGGUUGGGGUAAAUUACCCAUCAUUCUUUCAUGGGUAGCCUAAUUGCCACCUUCUAUAUUUUGUGCAGACAAGGCAACACCAGAAUACCCUAUAAUAUAUAUAAUUUUCGUUAUUUUUUUUUUGGAGAGAAAUAUAAUUUUCGUUAUUGUAAGUAGCUUAUCGCUUAUCCAUUUUUUCCUGAAUUUUACUAAGAUUAUCUUAAUAAAAAAAAUUUAAACAUAUAUUUUUUGGGUGCCCCUAAUAUGGUCCCUUUUUUACAAGGUCCACAUGUGGACCUCCUAUUAUGACCGGUUAUAGUAGGUUACCCAUUGCUUUUUUAAAAAAUAAAAUAAUAAUCUAUAUAAAAGUUGCACCAAUUUGUUUGUCUAGGUAAAGGUUGCAAUAGAGAUGGCGGAGAUACCGCCGGCGAUGGAGGCAAUGAGCUCUUAAGUUUCAUUAUGCAUGUUUAAUUUAAGUCGAAAAUUUCAUCAUCUUUAAAUGUUGAGGAGAGUUUUUGAGUAGCGAAAGUUUACAUCUUUGUACCAUCACAUAAAACAACUCCCACAUCAAGUUACAUGUUUACUGUCAGAUCUUAUGAAAAUUUUGCAUUGAUUGUGCAGUGAAGAGUUCGAGAAUGCAAAAUGAAGUGUUAUUGUUCAUGAUUUGUGUUGUAAAGGAAGUGUUUUAUGUUUUUAUUUUGUUGAAGAAAUUAAAAUAAAAACUAGCUAAACAUGAAUCUAGAAUUGAAGAUCCAUAAAGAUUAAAUUUCAAUCUCAGUUUGGGCUUUCUAUGACUUCUUAUUUUGAUUAGUAGAACCAAGACACAAAGAUUAAAGACCAUAUCUAACUUCAUAAUCUUAAUUAGCUCCCACUGUAGAAUCAUGAAUGUGUUUUUCAAGAAUAUAAAGGAGGGUUUUGGUCACGAGGGGGAAGAGGGAGUUGGAGAGAGAAGAAUAAAGUUGUAAUACUACAUGUACCUGCUAUAAUUGGUUAUAUUAAGAGGACCACAGCUGGACCUUGAAAAAAAGGGAUCAUAUUAGGGGUUACCAUAUUUUUUAUAUCAUUUUAUAUUUAUAAGCUAAUUUAAAUGUUAAUUUUAUCAAACACUAUAAAUUUAGUAGCAACAAUUAAUAAUAUACACAAGAAAAAUGAGUUUUUAGGGAUGAAGUGCAACCAUUUAUGGCAUAUAUACAUGAGGAAGUUGCAUGCAUUUUUACACGUGUAUCCAUAGGGAAGCAAAUUACUAGUUGGAAAGAGAUGUAGAAUUUAAUACAACCAUUGAUAAUAUAUACAUAGAAAAAUCAAGUAUUUUAGGGCAAGGGCAAGCAUAGGAUCCAUAGGGAAGCCAAUCACUAGUUGAAAAGAGAUGUAGAAUUUAAUGCAACCAUUAAUGAUAUAACGAUAAAAAAAAACAAGUAUUCAAGGGCAAUUAAUCUUCUUUUAAAAAAUCUAAAACAAGUAUGUAACCCUAAUUACUUAUUUAUCUACUAUUAAUUUAUCAUAAAAGCAUAAAAUGUUGUAACUUUAAUUAAAUUUAAUGUCUUUUAUCCUCAUUGAUCGACAAUGUUAUGGUAUAUUUUUAACACUUGUAUACGUGUUUAUGUCUAAGGAGUCAAUAAAAAAAAGAAAAAAACAAACAUUUUUAGAACACUUGUCUGAGUUGUCCGACAUUUGUUGUAUAUGUGUUCGACAUCGAUCAAAGAAGUGUCGAAAUAAAGAAAAUACAUAUUUUUUGUAUUAUUUUAUGAGUUUUCGACAUGUGUUAAACAAGUUUCAUACGAGUGCCGGACACCGACGCAUGUCAGAUACUUGCGACAUACCUUGUGUAUGUGUUUCAUCGGAUGGAUGUGAUAAAGAAUGGACUUGUAAAUGGUUAAUUCGAUGAAUGGUGAAAACCAUAGUACUUCCUCCGCUUCAGAAUGAUAGUGGUUUAAGAUUUUUACACACAUUAAGAAAUAUAAAAACUAAAACAAAGAUAAUUGUUAUUUUACUAAAUUAUCCUUAUUAACUAUUGGUUUGUUUAAGGUAAGUAAUGGUUAGGAAGUAGUGCAUAGUUAAUUGGAGGGUACAAAUGAAAAGAAAAUGUUAACAUUGCAUUUGAAACUAAAAAUGACAUUCAUUUUAAAAUAUCAUUUUUGUUAAAGUGACGUUCAUUUUCAAUUAAAAGAAGUAGUCAAUAUAAGAGAAAUGUUAACAAGUGCCCUUGAUGUAUUUGUUAAGAACCUCAAAGUAGAAAUUUUAUCUUGAUAAUUGUGUAUUUAACUUAUUGAAAUACCAAAAAUUACACUCCCCUCAAAGAUGCUUGAAUUACACUCCCCUCCCCUCUUAUGUUAAAAUAUACACUUCCCUCCCUUGAAAAGUAAAAGUUAUACUCCCCUCCCUUAUAAAAUACUUGAAUUACAAUCCCCUCCCUUGAUGAUUAAAUAUGCACUACACUUUAAUCUAUUUUAACAUAAAUAAAUAUUUUUAUGAUAUAUAUUAAUUUUAAACCACCAUUUGAAAAAAAUUAAUUCAUUUUCUUUAUAAUUUAAAUGUCAAUGAUAAUUAAAUUUAAAUAUUUUGCUAUUGAUUUUAUAAUUUAAAGUAUAAAAUUAACUUUUAAAUAAUCAUGCUUUAUUGUCUUUAGUAAUUUUUCACAUAUUUUAAUUUUAUUUUGGGUUGUUUCAUGUUUUAUAAUAGGGAUUAAAACUACAUGUUGAUGAAAUUGUGGAUAAAAAAUAGCGAAAAAUAUGUAUUCAAUUUUUUAUUAUAUUAAAAUAGACUCGCAAUACUAUUUUUUUCGAAGUGUGUUAGAUUAUUAUUAUUUUGCUAGAUUAUUAGAAAUAAAAAAAAUAUUGAGGGAGUAAAGUGUAGAUUUUAACAUAAGAGGGGAGGGGAGUGUAAUUCAAGCUUCUCUUAAGGGAGGGGAAUGAAAUUUUUUCUAAUAUGUUUUGAAUAAGAGGGGAGGGGAAUGUAUAUUUUAACAUGAGAUGAGAGGGAAAUGUAAUUUAUGCAUCUUUGAAGGGAGGGGAGUGUAAUUUACUCUAAAAUUUAACAAUUGUUUACUUUUUUGAAUCCUUAACUAGUGUCCUAAGGACACUUGUUACGAUAAUCCUUAAUACAAUCAUCAACGUUUUAAUAAAUAUAAUGAGGAAUACUAAGAGUCUACAUUGGUGGAUGAGAAGAAGUAAUAUAUUGAAGUCUGUGGGGCAUAUGAAAGGUUGAAUUUCAAUUUUCAAAGCAAUGGAAUAAGUGGGAUUAGAGUGGGGCUGCAUAUGUGGAUAGGCCAAUUGAGAGAGUUUGGGAGGGAUUAACAAAAUACUCCAUCCGUAAUGAAAUAUGAACAAAAAAGGUAGAUGAAAAGUUGAUGUAUGUAGAUUCAAUUUUUAACCACAUACAUUGACUUUUUUUAAGAGCACAUACACCGACUUUAUAACUAUAAUUUUUGUUUAUAUUUCAAUAUGAGGGAGUAGACGGAAACUUGAGCUUGGAUUACGUCUUGGAGACUAUUCAAAGAUUGGAAAUAUAGGAUGAUUAAUUUCCUCAACUUAAUACUAAAUAUUUUAGCCAACCCUAGUUUUAAGAGAGAACUUCACCUCUCUCUCUCCCUCUCCCUCUCCCUCUUCCUCUCUCUCACGUUGCUUUGUUCGUCAUCUUGUUGUGUCAUUGUUUGAUUUUAUCGUUGUCCAUUAGAGUCAAUGACUCGAAUGUCAACGUUAUAGAUCAAAAGUCAUUGAUAUUCCAGUACCUUUAAUUAUUGCAUUUGUAGAUAUUUUCAACGGCGAAGCUAGAGUAAUAUUUACGAGGGGGCCAAAUACAAAGAUUUUUUUUGAGGAAAAAAAAUCAUCUUUCUUAAAAUUUUAUAUAUUACGUUAAAAAUGUUUAAUCUCUAUAAAAUUAGGUUUCAAGGAAACAAAUAUAAUUGAAUAUUUGCUAAAUAGACCAACAAUUUAUUUAUUCAACGUCAACAAAUAAACCAUUUAUACUAAACUAUCGUUCAUUUUAUUUGACUAUCGAUAAUUUUAUUGCUAAAAAUGAUUUCCCUAUAGUUGUUGUUGAGACCAAAAUAUCAAAAUAAGACAAAUAAGUUUAUUAAUCAAGCAAUUAUUUUUUAACCUUUUAAUUUAUGCUAAGUUUUUGCAAAUGAAUUUAUUUGAGGUAGCUAAAAAUAUAUUAUUGGGGUAACUAAACAUAUUAAUAUAUUUAUUUAUUCAGUGGAAAUAUAAAGCUUGGGCUAGCCAAAGCUACCCGCUAUCCCAUAAUUACAAAGGAAUUUGUCUCUGGAUAUUUUGCCGUUUAAAUUAUGAAUUUAGACACGGUUAGCUUGUUGACAAAUUCAUCUUUUUCAAUUUUAAUAAGGUUGAAUUUAUGUUGUUCUUGAUGUAUUAUAUCAAUUUAAAUAAAUGGAUGUUUUUGUUUUUUCCUUGAUAGUCCAAAAUAUGAAUACUAGAUAAGUACUUAUUUGGUAACACCGACUGGACGGCUGAAACUGAAACCAUAUGCUAUAGGUUAGUUAAUAGUUAGUAGUGAUUAUCCAAAGAAGGCCAAUGUGGGGUCCACAUCCUAGAUAGUUUGAAAAUAUUUGUUGUUUAGGACUGAGGCACAAGUACACAUGAUCCUCAACAACCCAUGAAGGCAACGUUUCUAUAUUUUGUGCAGACGAGGCAAUACCAGAAUACAUUAUUGCAAGUUAUCGCAUGCAAUGCAUCUUCUGAUACCACCUCACGGGAAUCUGUUAUGGACCAUAACCUCUAGUCUUCAUUGGGAUCUUCUUAGUCCAUAACAGAAUCACAACAUGGCCAAAACCCACCGAGACUUCUGGCCAAAACAGUACGUACCAUGAGAAACACUAGUAUACGUGUAGGAUUUGCAUGCUCAAGUAGAUAAGCAUGACACAUCAUAUAUAUGUGGAUAAUUUUGUUGUAGUUAUCUGAAAAGCAACGGUUGUUACAUUAAGUUAAAGUAAAUUACAACACGCAAAGACUACUGUUUUAAUGGAGAGAGUGGCAGACAGAAGAAGUGUCCAGCAUAUCUAUGCAACACAACAUACCAAUAUGUCAGAAAGUUUGAAAUAUGAGCAACCUUCAAUGUUCAACUUUAAUUUUGUUUGAAAUCACGGGUGUCUUAAGGAUGAAAAUGACAAUUUUUGUCUAGCAUAAAUUGAAUGGAGUUCUCCCACGUUGCAAGUUUGUGAGGGAGGUGGUGGAGUUCUUCAAUUGGUUUGCUGGGAAGAGGAUAUUUGAGCUUAUAGUUUUCAGGAACUUAAAGAUGAUGAAUACGUGUUUUUGGAAUUCUUACCAUCAAUUGCAAGAACAUUAUCUCUUUAAUAUCAAAAUGUAGAUUUUAGUUUUAGACGGAGGCAAAUGAAUAUAGCAACUCAUGGUAUUAGACAGACUUUUAUGUAAAGCAAGUCCCCACAUUUUUACUAUUACUAUUUCUAUUGUUAUAUACAGUUUUAUUGAAACGAUUUAGUUUUCAAAAAACUCUUUUUUAGUUUUCAAAAACUGAAAAACAAAAAACUUGUUUGAAGCAUCAAUUUUCAAAAAGCAAUUUUGAAAAUUAAUUUUCAUUAUCGGUUUUUAAAAACUAUAAAAUGAAAAGAACUAAAACAUGUUUUGCUUUUUAAUUUUAGUUUUCAAAACAGAAAACACAGAGAAAACUACACUUUUCAUUAAUGCCAAUUGUUGUAAUUAUAUUGAAGUUGUACAAAUAUUUUCUAAUUAUAUUUUCCAAUUAUUAGUUGCACGUAAUUGUUAAGGGAACGGAAAUGUUAUAUUCAAGGAUAAGUUCACGUGAUUGGCAUUGAGCAGGGCCGUCCCUAAGAAUUCGGAGGCUCGGCUCUGGGAAUGAAAAGAGGCCGGUGAUAAAAUCAAAACGUUUUUUUUUUUAAAAAAAAAACAAUGUUCUAUUUAUAUUUUUUAAAAGAUAAAUAUAAGGUGCCGUAUAUAUGCGGUACAUCCAAAGGUGAAAAUGACUACCGUAUACAUAGUAACCCCCACCUAACACCAAAAGCAAGAGGACCUAAUUCUAAUAGGCCUAAAAGGCUAAAAGAAGGGGACAGAAAAUAGCUGGGGGUAUUAAAAAAAAAUUGGAGGGCAGUAGUACUAGUAGGUAUUAAAAAAAAAUUGAGGCCCAUGACUGAGGGAGGCCCAACUCUGUUGAGCUGUUUGCACCUCCUCAGGACCGGGUCUGGCAUUGAGAACAACAUUCUCAACUUUUUGUAUUUAUAUUUUUCCAACUCCAUUUUUUUUUUCGAUUUUUAAACCUUUAAUUAUUGAUAUUUCACUGAAUUAUUUUAUUAUUGAAAAUCUUAAUUUUAUUUUAUUUUUAAAUUUGAUUUAUAAUUAUUAAUUUGUCUAGUCAAAUGUGGAUAAUACUCGAAGCAAUGGAACAGUACACAAAGUCGUUUGAAUUAUUUAACCAUAAUCAAACAAUCAUACAUAUAACAUGUCAAGUAAGAGAGAACCAUCUAACCACCUACAUAACGACACUUUUCUUUCAAAAAAAAAAAAACACCUAUAUAACAAAGGCUUGCCACUAAUACGAGUGAAAUCAGACUUUAGUAGCUUAAUCAUGUGUCAUAUUCCAGAAAAAACUUCUAAAUUUAUUGAUUGUAAAAAAGAAAUCAAUGUAUUAAACUUUUCUCAGGAACUCAUUUGUAAUUAUUACAUUCAUUUUUUUUAGAAAAAAAAAAAUUAUUUUUAAAUAUAUGUAUCAAACAAAUUUUCCAAUUUUUAGAUUUAUUUUAAAUACAUUCUAACAGCGGUAAGAAAAAUAAAUUCAAAAAUCAAAUUUAUCAAACAAGUCUUCUCAAAUUCUCAUUUCAAAAACAGUUUUUAAAAAAGAAUUAUCAAACACGUUUUUUUUUUAUGUUUCUUCUUUAAAACAGUUUUAGAAAAUUGGUUUUAAAAAUUGAUUUUGAAAACUAAAAAACAAAACAAAACCAAACAGGCCCUUAGUUUUUUUUUUUUUUUUUUUAUCAAUUAGUUUAGUGGUUAGGAUUCACUUUUUAUUGUGAAUAAAUAGAGUGUUUUCUAUUCGAACCUCAACCUCUCUGUAUAAUAGUAUAUUGUCCCUGUCAACUGAGCUAUGCUUACGAGUCUCAAGUACGAAAUUAUUCAGCUUUAUUAAUGUGAAAAAAUUAAAUUAAAGCUUUAUAUAUAAGUUUCAAAUUAUGGCUCCAAGUGAUGGGAAAAUGAAACAACCAACUAAAGUCUACUUUUUUUUUUUUCGUCUAGUAGCCUAGUGGUUAGAGCUCACAUAAUUAAAUGUGGAAAAAUGGGGUGUCCGGGGUUCGAACCCCGACCUCUGCAUAAAUUAUGCAAUGUCCCUGCCAAAUGAGCUAAACUUUCGGAAACUACUUUUAGUUACGCAUAGCUUGGACUUUGGAGUAUAAAUAUAUAAUGUGUAUGUUUAGUUUUGCACUAGUGAAAAUUGAUUAUGUAGAUUUGAUUUAGUUAAAAUGAGUUGAAUAUAAAAUGACUUAUGUUUUUUUUUUUUUAAUAAAAAAGGAUUUAUGUUUGAAUCAUAGUAAAAGUGAUUAAUAUCAACAAUGUUUUUACGAUAGAAUAUAUCAAAAUUUCUUUUUGGGUGUGUACAUUUUAAAAAUGUUUUUUUUUGUUUUGUUUUGAAAAGUACCAAAAUGGGUUUUAGGCUCUGGUUGAUAAUGCUGAUAAGCUAGAUUAUAACUCCUAGAAUUAGCUUAUAAGUUUGUUUCACCAAAAUGUGAUAUGUUCGGUAACAAAUAUCAUUUACGAGCUUAUAUGUGCACUUAAGUUGCUUAAUAAAAUUACUAAUCAUGAGAGGAUGACCCCGAGCUCUUCAUCUAUGACUGCAAAUUUCAUGUUAGGAUAUAGACUAGGGAUACUCUUUCUCAAGAAUUGACCCUUCAAAAUAGUUGGGAGUGCCUUUCAAAUUUCAAUGUUUAAAUCUGUUGUCUGUACUACUAUUAAUUUUAAUUAAUGAAGUUAAAUUUUACGGUAAAAAGAGUAAGAAAUUCCAACUAAUAUCCAUUUAUAUCUUCAACCCCUAUAUUUAUUCUCCACAAAUAGUGCCAACCGUCUUAUAGUUGCGGUAUAAAAUCGGAGGAUUCAGGUGAGAUCUAGAUUACCCUAUCUUGUUUAGGGGGUAUUUACCUUUUCAAGAUAUAAACCAAUCAAAAUGUAAUAUACAAAUGUAACAUUAAAUAUCAAAUAAAUGAGUUAAUUUUUUCUAUAAAAAAAAAAAUCAAUUUUAAUCCUAAGGUAAUUGACAUUUAAUUUAAUUAUAUAUUUAGGUAUUCAAUCUUAAUUAAUUUACACUAUAGGUCUUGUAACAAUUAAAAUUUCACAUCAAAAUAUGUACAAGUUAAUCAUUUUCUUCAUUUUUCUAUUAAAAAAACAUGAAAAUAUUAAUUUUAUUAAUAACUUUGUUUUAUAAAAUAUUUUUUAAUAAAAAUAAAUAAAUUCAUGAACCCUAUGAACAUUUCAUCCUCAUAUUCAUCAUCUUCAUCUUCUUCCUUAAAUCAAAAAAAUUAUCCAUCCAAAUAAACCUUCAAAUUCCUUAAAUAUUUCCUUUUCCAUCUUCUUCUAAACACAAAAUUCAAAAUACUCAAAUUUUAUAAACCUUAGGUUUGCCAAACCCAUAAAUCUGAAUUUUGGAUUUAAAGAAAGAAACCGAAAAUUCAAAGUAUCGGGUUUCUUGUUUUCUAUGAAAUUUAAUUAUAAUGGUGUUUGAUGUGAACUUGACGAGGAUUGUGCAUAUGAGCUAGUUGUUUAGCUUUUUAGAUUCUUAACCUUUUUGGAUUUUGGACUAGUAUUAUACAAUGGUAUAAACAAUUUCUUAUUGUUGGAGGCCAACCUCGCCUUCACUACCAUCAGAGAUAGGAAAGCUAUAGGGAAAGUGAUGAUUGUAUUUGAUGAGAAAAUUACAAGAUCUAAGUUGUGAUGAUCUUUACUAAAACUAUGCUUGAGCACUCAAACAUGAGAGGUUCACUAUCCAAAUUGUGUGAUUUUUUCUUUAAAUCCAAAAUCUAAAUUUAUUGCUUUUGUAAAAUUAGGGUUUAUGAAAUUUGGGGACUUUGAAUUUUGUGUUUAGAAGAAAAUGGAAGUGAAAAUAUUUAAGGAAUUUGAAGGUUUAUUUGGAUGGACAAUUUUUUUUGAUUUAAGGAAUAAGAUGAAGAUGAUGAAUAUGAGGAUGAAUGUUUAUAGGGUUUAUGAAUUUAUUUAUUAAAAAAUAUUUUAUAAAAUUAGUAUUUUCAUGUUUUUUUAAUAGAAAAAUGAAGAAAAGGAUUAGCUUGUGCACAUUUUAAUAGAUAAAGGACCUAAAUGAGACAAAAAAAAGAUAAAGGACUAAUGUGUUACAAAUAAAUAAGAUAAAUGACAUUUAGUGUAAUUUUUCUAAAAUAAAUUGACUCAUUUAUUUGACAUUUAAUGUUACAUUUUGUAUAUUACAUUUUGAUUGGUUGAUAUCUUUUAGGGGUAAAUACCCUCUAAACAAGAUAGGGUAAUCUAGAAAAAAUCGAGAAUUCACCACAAAAAGUCAAAUAAAAUAGAAGGACCGGCUGUCUUAUAUGUAAUUUUUAUUAAUAUAAUCAGAGUGUGUUGUCAUUUGGUCCAUUUGGUUAUUACUAAAAUAUGAUUAUUUUCAGUUUAUUGAGCUUGGCUGUUGGUAAGAACAUUGCAUUUUCUUUGCAAAAGUUAGGGUUUGAUCUCCAAACCCUCUAUUUAUUCAUUUUAAAAAGAUGAAUUUCUAGUCACGUUGAGUUAUUUGACAAAAAAAUAGAUUGCAAAUGUAUAACUAUUCAAAUAAAGAUAACCAAUGAGAUGUUCUCAGCGCUUAUGCUCUUCUUGCAUGCCCUAGGAAGCUUUUAUUUUAUCUCGUUUUGAUUAUUUCAUCUAAAGCAUAUUAAUAAAAUUUCAGAAUAUAAAAUCCCAAAGCUAUUAGAACACAUAAAAUCAACAUUUUUUCCGAUAAAUCAACAACAAAAUCUUGUUUUAUAUUGGUUCCACAUAUAGAAUUUGAAUAAAUAUUUAAUAUUCAUAUGUUUUUUGGGUUCUAAUAUCCAAACAAUGGCAAAGGCUAGGGUGCAUGACCUUCAUGGGUCUCCUACCGGUGCAAGACUUGAAUUUUUUUUAUUUUUAUUUUUGCAAAAGGAAUGUUAUCCAUUGAAUGUAAGUUUGAAUAUUUUCAAUGGUUGAGAUUAAUAGGCUAAGUGACCCACUAUGCUUGUAUUCUUUUUAACAUGUAUAUUGAUUUAAUAAAUGCAUUUGAUUUUGGAUUCAAUUUUCAGAAAGGAUGUUUUUGUCAAUGUUGAACAAUUGAAAAGUUUUCCCAGCAACAUAAUACAUUCCAUCUCUAUUAUCUUCUAGUCAAAAUUCCAGCAAGCAAUGUUCUUGACAAUUUGAUGAAAUAAUUAAGAAUAUAGUUUUUUUUUUUUAAGGAAGAAAAAUAUAUUAAUUGAAAAUAUAUUAUAAAUACAAAUUUAUAAAUUACUUGACCUACUAAGAUUUAUAUAUAUAUGGAUUUUGCUAGAAGCCACUCAUGAAAGUGUCUUUUAGCAACCUACACCUCAAGGUGUGAUUUCCACUUUUUAGUUAUAACUUUGCUAAAAAACACCUUUAUAAAAAUUAGUUGGUGUCUUUUAGCAAAUGAUCAUAGAAUAUCUUGCUAAAAAACACCUUCAUAAAAGGUGUCUUCUAGCAAAACCAUAUAUAUAUAUAUUGUUUUUAAAAAUACCAAUUGAUUUUGUAAUUACAUUUAACAAAGGGUGUUUUUGGCAAUGUUGGAAAAAUUGAAAAAAUCCCAACAUGCUCAUAGACCUUGAUUAAUUCUGAUUUAGUUUUAAUGAUAAUAACUAUAUAAUUAUAAAUAAAAAUAACAUUAGUAAUUACAUAUUAUGUUUUUUUAAAGAAUAUUAUGGUAUUUUUAAAUAGGGAUAAAUAUGUUUUUAAUCCUUAUAAAUAUAUCAACUUUUCAUUUUAGUUUCUCUAGAAUCAUUCUUCAAUUUUUAGGGUUCCAAAUUUAUAUAUUUGGGGAAGAAAGGGUCGUUAAUGAGGAAGAGGAGAAAGAGCCGUUAAUGAGGAAGAGGAGAAAGAACCGUUAAUGAGAAAGAGGAGAAAGAGCCGUUGACAAUUUUAUGAAAAUCCAUCAAUUUGGUCCUUGGCAAUUUUCUGUAAAUCAAUCAAUUUGGUCCCUGCUUGCGUGGCAUCUGACGUGGUAAGCAUUGUAAAAGGUUAACGUUACACGUCACCUCCGUUAACACACCAACUUAAUGGAGGGACUGAUUUGAUUGACAUUUUGUAAAUUCAGGAACUAAAUAGAUAUCUCGCAAAAUUCAAGGACGAAUUUGACCAAUUUUUUAAAAUUCACGGACGAAUUUGAGAUAUUAAUCAUUUAAUUAAUAUAUUCAUACAUUAGCCCUGUAAUAUUAAUAGCUAUAAUGUUUGAGUAAAAUUAUUGUGAGAAUUUUUAAAUACUUUAACUUACUACACUAGGUAAGGAUUGUACAACAACUAAAAUUAAAGGUCAUUUUAGUGGAAAAAAAAAAUUGCUCUCUUACCAUACGAGAUCUAUUAAAGUCACGCACGCUAAACGGGGCUUCCAAACAAUUACAAACUCCCACGAGACGAGAUGUAAACGCUAUUGGGAUUCAUUAUCAUGAUAUAUUUUAGAUUCUAUAAAUUAAACAUGUAAAAUAUGUGUCGGUUAUAGAUGUCAAUGCGGCGGAGCGGGGACAAAGAGUACUUUUCCGCUCCUUGUCCCAUCACUCAAAUUAUUCCUCGUCCUCAGAGUUUUUCCUCCAUCCCUAUAUCCUUAGAUCCCUCGGUCCCUGUGGAGCUUAAUCAUUGUGAACAAAUAUCUAAAUUUCUAUUAUUUUUAAUCCGUUAGUUGGUAAAAAAUAAAAAAUUUAACCAUAAGUUAUACAAUAUCAAGGCGUUAUAGUAUACAUUACACAGAAAGUAACGUUGUAUAAUUCCGUAUAAGAAAUAUCAUAUUUUACAUUUAAUUUACUUUUUGGAAGACAUUGAAUUUACUUUUGUCGACCUUGGGCUAUCGUUAAUCAAACUGAGCAUUAUAUUGGAAUAUUUUUAGUUUGGCAUACCUAAUGCAAAAAAAAAAAAAAAAAAAGUGUAUUCAAACGAACAAUAGGAUAAUAUUCAUGGACACCCUUUUCUUCAUACACAUUUGUGUACCACCCUCAUGUGAGAGUGUGUGAGAGACAAAAAAAGUGAAUUUUUUGUGCAUGUAGGGACCACGUACAUGGUCACAUGUCGCAAUUGUGUGUGGGUGUACAAGUGUUAGUUGUCAGUUAAGGUGGUCUAUGUAUUACUUCCCCGAACAAUAAUAGUUUUGACUUCUUGGUUAUUUAGAUAAGAUUUUUUUAAAUAGUUUUUGGGUUAUGCUAACAAGUGUGUUCUUAGGGCAUUUGUCAAGGUUUUAAAAGAGGAAUUAAUUUACAAAUUUUAUGUAAAAAAAGUUUUUUUUUUUAAAUUUCAAGAAAAAAUAUAUUUUAUUGGUUUCUAAACAAAUAUUCAUAAGACACUUGUUAGCUAACAAGUACCCUUAUUAAGGAUUUAAAAGAGGAAAUUAUUUAGAAUUAUUUUUUUUUUAGAAAAAGUUCAUUUUCUCUGUUUCAAUAUAUUAAAUACACAAAAGGCGUAUGAUCAGCUCCAAGAUGGCUUUCGAUUUAAAUGUGGAAAUGGUGCUUCAAGUUUAUGGUUUGAUAGUUGAGUGACUAAGGAACCUCUUUGUCGUCAAGUGUCGUUUGUGGAUAUUCAUGAUCGGGAUUUGAAGAUUCAGGAUGUGUUCAUAGGUGGUCAGUGGCAGCUUCAACAACUUUAUACUGUCCUUCCGGAGGAAAUUCUAGAUCGGACACUACAAGAAUUCUGGUUUUUACUGGCGGAAAUAAUCCCUCGGUAACGCCAAAAAUCCCUCAGUAGUACAUAUUACUGGCGAAUUUGAAUCCCUCAGUAAUAUGAGCGUCAGUAAUGUUACUGAUCAGUAAUUACUAGAAGUGUGCUCGUCCUUAAGGUCUCAGAUUCGAUUCUCUCCAAGUCAAUUUAAAUGAGCUAAUUUAGCUUCUUAAAAAAAAAUUAUUCCCAUGAUGGAUUAAUUUAUUUUUGUAGUACAUGCUUUGGAGGAUUACUUUAUUCCCAUGGUGGAUGGUUUGGAGGACUAUGCGGUGGUUGUUCUCGAUGGAAUUUAAGCUUCUACCUCCUAAAAAUUAAAGACGACUUUAUAGUCAAGAUUUGAGAGGUCAUAUCCUAAAAUUGAACUUGCUAAAUGAAAGAUUAACUGACGUUGUCAUGAUUAUAAUCAUCUUUUGAUUGAUGUUAUGUAAAGUUAGUUAAUUUUUAUGAAUGUGUAAUGAUUUACAAACUUCUUAUGAUUAAGGUCUUUUGGAGUAAAUGGUUUUGAUCAUUUUAACUAAACCAAUGUAUAAUUUCUUUACAAGUUACUUUCUUAUAUAUCAAGUUGGUUUAUCGACUUAUGACAAAUAUAUUCAUAAAAAAAUCAAAUAGGCUUGUAUAUAGUGAUAAAUAAGCUUUUAAAAGGCAUAUAUUUCACUAAAAUUAUAAGAAUAAUAUAGAUACACACCUAUUUGGUUCUAAAAAUAAUCUAUUAGGUACUUAAUCUAAUAAUUUUUAUGACCAACUUAUAUUUCACAUCUUUUGGAUAAGAGUGAUGAUUAUCCUUAAUGAAGUAGCUCAUUAUUAGCAAAUUAUACAUAUAUGUUUGCAUAAAAUUUCAUGCUCAUAUCUUAUAUCUGAUUCAUUGCAUCGCACGGGUUGAAGAUCUAAUUUAUAUAAUUAUAAUCUUAGAAAUUUCAUUUAAAACUCUAAUUCUAUUAAUUAAUCAUUAAAUUUUUAAAAAAUAGAAAAAAUAACUUAUAUGUACCCACUAAUGGGCUGUUGGGUUCCACAUUGAUUCAAUAAAAUGUAUGUUUGCCAAGCCUUUCCACCAUGAUAAUAUGAAGCUACAAAUUGUAGCAUCCAACAAAAUGCAUGUUUUCAGCAAUGCAACCGUGAAAACAAACGCAUACUAACUCACGUCACUCACACACAUACAUCACAUAAUAAAACUCGUAUUAUCCCACUAACGCACCAUUCUCAUGACCAAAUUAUGCACAAAUAAUAUCACUCAUAAAUGCACAGUAUGCAUGAUUAAAUUCAUAACCAACAAACUCUUCCUUCAAAAAAAAAAAAAAAACUCUUUGAACCACACCUAUUACAUGCCAACAAUUGCACGUUUGCUUUCCUCAUUUCUCAAUACAUUUCUCUUUUUCUUUGGUUGUUAUUCCUUCUCUCUUCAUGUAUCAUCUCUUCAUUCCCUCUUCAUUAUAUUAGAGUUGUUGUUUGUUGAUUCUUAUUUUUUAUUUGUUUUUCAGAGGCAUCAUUUUGAUACAUGCACACGAUAUUGGUUUUCAUUUUACAAUUUUUUAUACAACCUUAGUCCAUCUUCUUCCUCUUGAGUAUUUUAUUUUCAUUUUUCCAUAUUCUUUUUGAUUUGAUUUUAAUAUGUUUGGUACAAUCUUAAUCUUUUGCAUAAUUAUGAAAUUCUUUUUUCUAUUGUUCUUAUUUUUUUUAUCUAUCUAUACAUUAAUUGCGAUGAGAUUUUACAAAUGUAUAUCAUUUUUUUAAACCAAAAAAGUUAGAUGUGUCGAAGAAGGCAAGCCAUCCCAACUAUACUGGCAUCCAACAAGUUCUACAAUAAUUUUUCUCUCCCUUACUCUCAUUCAAUUAAUUAAAUUAAAAAAUAAUAAUUUAUUAUUAUAAUCCUAUAACUACCCACCCUCCACAUUUCUAUUUCCCUCUUUUUAUUAAUUAAAGAAAAAAAUUAUAAAUAAAAAACUAGGAAUUAAAUUGAUAAAAUACAAAAAACAAAUCAAAUAAUGGGGAGAAAUAGCUACCCAUGAUAUAACUCACAUUUUAAUUUUUUAGUUUUAUAAUCCUACAAAUUUUCCUAUAAAUAGAAAAUAAUUUGUCUUGAUGUAGUAUUUAGUUGUGUGUGUAAUUUUUUCUUUAAAGUCAUAUUUUCAAUAAAGUUAUGAUAUCCUAAAAGACAAUUAUAAUUUAUGAUUUACUGUAUGAUACAUAUUGUAUUUUCUUAUUUCCUCAUAAGAUAUAAACUAUUAAAAUGUUGCAUGUUUUUAAUUACAAAAUUUUCUUAUGGAUGAUAAUAACGAUUCGAACGAGCUCUACAAUUUUCAUGACUUACCUUAUGCCAUUUAUAAAGUUUUAUUUUAUUCUAUUUUCAUUUCAUUGUUCUACCUCUUUUCUACUUCAUUUAUUUUUCAUUUAAGAGUGUGACAGACAUUACAUGAAAGUAGUUUGUUUCACUUGUUUAUUAAUUUUAUACCAUUUUUAUUUUCAGUAUUCAAAUAAUGCUAAAAAGUAUUAAAAAAAAUUAAGUAAUAUUCUUGCCUCAUAAAAUAAAAACUUAUAUUCAAAAUUGAAAAGCAAAAUCAAUAUAACAAACAUUCAUAUCAAAAUAUUCUAUAAUGUUUUAAAAACUACAAUAAUGGUCAAUAAAAAUUCAAUAAUACUUAUGUACAAUGAUGCACGGGUAGACGUCUAGUUUAAACUUUUAAAUAUUUGGUUUCGGAUAGAUUAUAGAUUGAGGGAAUAAGAAAGUAGUACCAAUCCCAAAGAAGUCAAAUUUAUCUUCAUAGCGGAAAGUUGUUGCAUCUGUUUGAUCGAGGGCAAGGUCGAUCUUAAGAUUUUUAGUGCUUUGGGCGAAAUAAUAAAAUUGUGCCACUUUAAUUAUUCCAAUAUUUUUUCUGGUACAAAAGAUUCAUUUAUAAUCAAAAUUCUUUAAAAACAUAUUUUCAGUAGAAUUAAUCAAAGUGAAUUAAAAGGAAAUGUAUCUAUAUAGCACUAACUACCAAGUAAAAAUAAUAAUUUUGAUGGCCCGAAAAAAAUAGUGUGCUAUGAUGCCUCCCAUCCCGUCCACAUCAGGGCCACCCCUAAUCGAGGGAUCAUAUGAGGUUAUUGGAAGUAGCCUUAUCAAAGAUAAAAAAAAAAAAAAAAAAACACAAGAACAUAAGAGAGUAGAGGAACAAGAGAGACAAAGUCUCAAAGGCGAGGGAUAAAAGAAGAGCCUCUAUUAGCCGCUUGGCAAGUAGUCAAGCGGCUAAAGGGAAUUGAGUUAUGAGCAGGUAAUCACUACGGUGGCGUUUGCAAUACGCAAGGGAUAAACUUGUGCAUGAUACACAAGUUAAAUAAUAAAGGACAGCUGUCGGUAUUCACCUAUUGUAAUAAAUUCUAUUAAAACACUGAAUUAUUAUUUUAAUGUCAAAUAUUAGAGGUCUCUUUAUCUAAUUCACCUCCCAUUCUGACGAAAAACAAAUGCACCUCCUUGAGGAAUUUUUUUCCAGAAAAUUAAUAAAAGAUUUUGAACAUCUCUCACAUAGAACCAUCAUCACUACUAUGAUAACAACCACAUCACCAUGACCAUCUUCAUCUCAUGUCCUCCACACUUUUGUAUUAUUAAUUUUUUUUUUUUUUAAAGUUACGAAUAUUUUCAAAUGAUAUCAGGUUUUUUUUAUUACAAAAAAUCAACAAUCUUCAUCUCUUCAAUCAUAUAUUCUUCAUUCAACCCAGAAAAUAAAAAACUUCAUAAACCCAAUAAGCUCAUUCACCAUAAAUCCAGAAACUCUCCUUAACGAUAUAUUAAUAAUCGCUUAAAAUUCAGAAACUAGUUCACCGUAAAACCAAAAACACCUGUACCUUCAACAACUCAACAAGAAACCCAUAAAUUCAUCCUUAUUUAACCCAUAAAUCGUAGAGUUUUACGCCAUAUCUAAAGUAAGGAUUUCAAGCCAACUAGUUACUGGGUUAGUUUUGUGAUAUCUGAAUUUUUAUUUCUCAGAUCUGAAUUUUGCAGAAAGAACACCAAAAGUUGAAGAAUGAUUUUUGCUUCUUUUUUUAAAAUAGAAUUAACAAAUAAAUAUCAAAUAAAAGUAAGAAUCAUACAAUAUUAACAACUGCAGGCAAAGGAUCAUACUAAAUGAUGAGUAUUCUUCACCCACACAAGUGAAAUGCAUACAAGGAAUCUACCCUUUUUUCUAGCUGGGGUUGCACACGGAAAAAAAAAAACUCAAAAGCCCAUUAAUAAAUUAAUGAUAAACAAUUCCUAUGUGGGGUCAUUGUUUUUGUUGUAGACAAAAUUACAAAAAAUUGAUAAUAGGUAGUCGGUAGUAGAUCUCAACCGUCCAAAUAUAAUAAUAAUAUCUCAAUAAAAAGGGAACACGUCUUCGUUACUUAAUGAUUUUGUAAAAAUAAAAUGUUGUUUUGUAACUUAACUAGUUAUAAUAAGAGUUUCUUCAAAAAAAAAAAAAAAGUUGAUUCAAUGUUGGUUUUGUUUCUUAUCCAAAUCAAAUUUCCUUUUAUUUUCCAUUCACCCUCGUCUGCAGAACUAUGUUACAUAUGAAAUGAAUAAAGAAAGAAGAAUAAUAAUAGUGUUAUUUAUGAAAAGUUGUGGAAUAAAAAAAAUAUGAAUCUUGUUUUAUAUAGGCUAAAUACCUCUUUUAGUCCUUUAAAUUUGACCAAAAUAUCGAAUUAUUCCUUUAAGCUUUUGAAGUUUCAAAUAGAUCAUUUAAGUUGUUAAUUUGAUACACCCAUUUGGAGUUUUUUAAGUUUCAAAAGGUCCUUAAAAUGAUAUCCCUUACUCCUUAAUCUUAUUAGGUUGCAACAACUUAACCCUAGAAAUUUGGCUCCAAAAUUGCAGCAUUAAAUGCUAAAUGAGAUAACCCUAAAUUUUUUUGGCUCUAAAGUGUUUGAGAAUUUGAAUUUCAAAUUAUUUUAUUGGAACAAACCUACUAGCACUUACCAAUAUAUGUUAUUAAUAUCAAUGAUAUAUUCCAAAGCAAAAAAUUGACCUAACAAAAAUUUGACCAAGCCCUUAAAUCAUAUCACCAGUCCCUCUUUUUCCUCCCUCUCUCUCACAUAACCAAGUGCGGUGUUGCCAAAGAUCCCCAAACUCAUCGAUGGUGUCUCUCACUCCGACGCCGAAACUUCCGUUGUUGAGAAUCGCAACUCGCCGGAAGGUCAAUAACCUAAGGCUUUAAAUCAAUUCUUCUCCUUUUCAUUCAUUCCCAUUUGACACUACUCUCUCUCAGAGGAAUAUUUGUAGUUGCUGUUAGAUUGGUUUGGAAAGUUUUUUGGGGUCCCGAAAGUGUUUUUUAUGCUGACUAUAGCAGUCCUGCUUUCUCUGCUUUUAGGUUCUAAUAUGGCUAUUGGGUGGAUGCGUUGGUGGUGAAUUAAUGCUUUUGUUUUAUGUAUCACUCUUUUUCUUUGGCAUGAUUUCUCUGCCAUGAGUUACCAUGUUAUGCUUUAUGUUUGAUUUCAUUGGUCUUUUGUAUAUCUUUAAUUUUUUUGUUAUUCUGAGUUUAUAAGGGCAUUUGCUUUGUGUUUUUGUGUAUCUUAUUUUGAUACAAGGGCAAGAACUGAAGUUCUUUCGAUUGAAAUUUUCACUUAUGAGAUUUUUUUCUUACUAUAAUUUUACCUUUGAAUUAAAAUAGGUGAUUGUAGUUGCAGUUGUAUAAGUAUGUUCCACAAUAUGUAUGGAUAUUUCGAUGUUAGCAGAACCGAAAUUGAUCAGAGACACUACGGGCAUGGAUGCAAACAAAGUCUUUCCUAUUAGGUCCUAUGAGCAUGACAAGGAGAACAACAUUAGUGAAAACAUAGUUAUGCAGUAGUGUUGCAAGAGUGCAGGUUCUGUCAUGGAGUGGUCUUGCUGAUGUAGUUUUUUUUUUCUUCCCCGGUUCAGCGGUGGUGUUUGUAGGCCGGCUAAACAUGACUUUUACUGGUGUUAAAAUCAGUCUUCAGUCUUUAGGUUUGUAUAUGUGCUUUAGUAAGUUCAAGCUUAAAAUUUGACUGUUUUCAUGAGAGGAAAUAAUUAAAUAUGAGAAGGGCAUUAAACUGUGUGUAUUAAAGUAUGAUUAAAUUGUGGUUUGUUUGUGAUUUAUUCAGUUUGUAUGCCUUCACCUCUAAUGGUUUACUUUUCUUCAUGAUAGCAAGUGCAUAUGUAAUGGAAAGGAUCUGAAUACUACUAUAUAAUUCAAAUUUAAAGAUAUUUGAAGCUAGAAACACAUGUCAUAUUACGAUGAUUUAAAUUAAAUUAAAUUUCUCUGUUUCCAAAUUCAUUCGUGCUUCUGUGUACGAUUUCUAAAGCCGAACCACUUAUGCAUCAUCUAUAACAACGACUAUUUUUUUAUAAUCAAAAGAUACACCUCAGUUAGCAUCAACAUUUAAGAUUUUUUUCAUCAAUAAUAAAACAAUUCAAACACCUCAAAAUAAGUUACUUAUAUCUUAUAUUAUAACGUCUCAACCCUUUUAUUUUUAAGAAAUGUCUCAACCUUUGCUAAAAAAAAAAAAUGUCUCAACCCUUUAAUCACUAGAUUACACAUUUUGAGAUAAAAAUUUUAAUUGAUAUAUAUUGAUUUAUAAAUAAUAAUUUACUCGAAUAGUAAAUAGUAAAUCACACCCAUAAGUUACACAGGUCGAAGAUCACUUAUUACUUUCUAUUAGAGUCGAUAAGACCCGUGCGAUAGCACGGGUCGAAAGUCUAGUAGAUGUAUUAAAUUAACAAUUUAAAAGACCAAUUUAAAACUUAAAAACUUAAAGGAUUAAUCAGGUAUUGUUGUCAAACAUAAAAAAUCAAAAGAGGUAUUUAGCCUUUUAUAUACUUUGAUCUAUAGCAAAGUAGAAUAUGUCAUGAUGAUGAGAGUUCGGGUAUGCUCCAUUUAUAUUAAACUUCAUUUACUCCAUUUAGUGUACGGAUGCAAGCCAUGUGGCAAAAAUACAUCUAAUAGUUGAGAUUUUAGAUUAAAAAAACAUAUAUUUAUUUAUCAAUAGUAAAAUAACAAUAAUAACAAGUGAAUCAUGUUCCUUUCUUCUUUCAUGUCGUCGCCCGCAACAAAUCCAACACCUCUCUCUUCUCAUCCAACCUUCUUUCUUUUCUCAAGCUUUCCCUCUCAUCAUCUCCUCUCUCAACUUAGAUCCCUAUUUUUGUUUUACCCAUCUCUAUUCCUUUCUAGUACAAAUUUUCUUUCUAUUAUUAUGUCUUUUUGGUUCUCAAUCUAUCGUGAGUGUAGUUAUGGAUUGAGUGCUAUUCAAAACUUGUAAGAUUAAUCAACAAUUUUUGGUCGAUUUUGAUUUCAAUUUUGGUUGAAGCGAUGGUGACUGAUGCAAGAUGAAGAGGAAACGUGAUUUAUUAUUAUCAUUAUUAUUUAAUUUAAUAAACAAAUAUUUUUUUUAAUUUAAAAUUUCAACCGUUGGUUGUAUUUUUGGCACAUAUCUUGCAUCUGUACACUAAAUGAAGUAAAUGGAGUUUAGCCUAAAUAAAGCAUUCCUGAACUACACGAUGAUAUACCUGUUUUAAAAAAGUAACAAUUUUCUGUAAAAUGAUAAGAAUAUUGAGAAUAGAAAAAUGAAAAUAAUAAAAUUGUAUAAUAAUAAAAUUUGAAAGUUGCUUACCUUAUGGAGCUUCUCGCUACUAGUGGUGAAGUUGAAGAAAGAAAAAAAAGUAGUUUUUUGAAGAGAAAAAAAAGUAGUUUGUUAAAAAUGGUAUAAAGGGGGAAAAAAAGAACUAAUAAAAGGAUAAAACUUAGGUAAAGUACCUUAGAUACUAUCCAAACAAUUCUCCAAUUAAAUUGUGACAAGUGUAUAUUUAACUUAGAUUCUUAACGGCGUGGUCACAUAUCUCCGUUAAUAUAUGCAGAAGUCCACUAUCCCAACCCUGUUACCAAUCACCGGUCGGAAGACUCGCCGGAAAUAACAACAGUCAAACUAAGCACCCACUCACCUGCCCUUGCCGAAUCACAAACAAGGUGUCGAAGGGAGGAAAAAUAGGUGGUUUAGAGGUGAAUAGUAUUUUCACUACGGGGAAGAGAAUGGUGAGCGGUGGGAGAGGGUGUUGGCAUAACACCAUCCUCUAUACUAUUUUUUAUAUGCAAGUUGAAUUUCCACACCCUUUCCAAAUAAAAACUGAGAAUUCCAUGCUGUGAAUUUUGAUUAUAUGAUGUUACAAGUUUCACCCCAAAGUUUCACCCUUUCCACACCCUUUCUAAAUUUACUUUCAUGUUUCUCUUCCGCACCGUUCCAUUCGACCUCCAUUAGGGGCAGACAUCAUAAGGCAUGGUGUGACACAAUAAUAUAUACCAAAUAAUUCGUUAAUGUUUAACAAAUCAAACAAUGGCCCAACGGUAGAUUGUCCUUUAACAAUUGUCACGUCCAUAGUUCAACUCCCACACUUACCUUGGCCAUGCCCCUGCUCCAUGUGCGGCAACACCAUCGACUUGCACACGGUUUUUGCUUUGAUCCCAAACCGAUUUCAUUGUCUCCUGACUCCAUUUUGGUUUCAUGGGUUAGUAUACUAUAGUAUCAUAACACCUUUAAAAUUGAAACCCACAAUAUUUUCUAUUAAAUUAAUCAUUUUUGCACUUUUUUUAAUAUUAAAAGGGACCUACACUUUUUUAGUAUUAAAAAAUUGAAUGUAAUGAUAUAAAAUUAUUGAUAAUUGAUUAGUGGGUCUCAUUUAAGAAAUUUGCGUUAGAUACUAGGUUGGAGAGAUUGAGUGUUUUUUAGGUACAACAAUAAUCAAGCAUCAUCCCACUAAGUGGGGUCAGCUAGAUGGAUCAAAUUGAAAUUAUGUCAUAGUUUUCUAUAAUAAACCAUAUUUGGAUCCAACUCAUUGACCUCUAAAUCCUUUUUAAUGGUCCCUCUUAUACAAUCAUUCAUUCAUACCUAGUUGAGCAUACACAUCACAUGAUAAACAUCAUAUCCAAUACAAUCAUUCAUUCAUACAACUUCACUUAGUCAUAUAAGAGUAAUCACAACAAUUCAUAAGGUAAUUGACUUGAAAGAACCAUUUCCGACAAUACCGUAUCAAGUGGCAAAAGGCCGACGUUGAUAAUUCUCACAACAAAGCAACAUAAGGACUCACUAGACCCUUUCCACAAGGUUAAUUCUUUCAUAAAAACACCCAUAGAUGAUUAGGAUAAAGUCCCUAUACUUAGAAAUAAGUUUGGAAAGAAUUGGAUCAAAGAAAAUUGCAUUUUUAAGGUUUUUAGAAAGACAGCUUCGUGGCACGUUGGUUUCCCAUCGUGACACGAUUUUUCUAGGAUCAGAAAGACUGAAAUCCUUAUCAAAAUCGUGGCACGUUGGCCCCGAAUCGUGGCACGAUCAUAGUUUGACAGACAACACCAGAUUUUCAACCUUCACAUUUUCGCGCAUAAAAAUCGAAUUGUUAAUCCGUUUUCGAUGUCGUUUUCACCUACGUGUUCAUGACACUUAGCCCUAUCUGAAUGUACAGAAAAAUUCAAGUUUCAACAACCCUAAAUUCAUUUUCCAAAGCCUUACACAACACUCAUUUUUUCCAAAACGGUUAACAAUUGAAUUUUCACCCGAAACCCUCGAUUUCUCCCAAACGACUCGACUAUCACAACUACAACAUAAAAACAGAAAUUCCAUCAAGUUUAACUCAUCGAACCACAUAGACAACUCAGUCAACAACUUUGUAUAUCAAAUUUCACUUUGGGUCCUUGACAUGAACAUCUAGCACAACUUGACCAAUACAAACAACCAUUUCAUAAAAUGGAUUACCCAUGGUAUCAUUCAACAAUAACGACAUACCUAAUUCAACAACAUUUCAUUUAGACAUGAAUUCAACCAUAAUUCAACAACACAAUAUCACAAUCGAACAAUUUGAGCAAAACUCAUAAGUAGCCAUUUUCACCAAACCAACAACAACAACUUAUUUCUCAUAACAAAUCAUGAAUCAUGCAUACCCAAGCCAUGAAUAAUCAUCCACAACGUCACUUAGCAAUAACAACAUCAAUUGAUCAUGAAACUUAUCACAAUUCAUCAACAACAUAGCAUAAUUCACCAAUUGAGCAUAUUUUCAACAUAUAUCAAUUUCUCAUACUUUGAACAUGUAAUUCAACUAACCACAAUUCAAUUAUCCAUAACUUCAUACAUCUAAACAUGGCAUCAUAAUUAGAGCACGAAUUUCAUCAUUUAUGAACAAUUAAUCAAUUCACCCAAUUAAGCACUUUUCAUACAAAUAAUUGAAAAUUGAAAUAAGUGAUUAUGAUGAAUUCUAACCCCCUUACCUUAGUUAGGUUAAUCUCUCUAGCUUAGACUUCAAUUUUGCGCCUAGCUCUUCUCCCAAUCCUUGAUUCUUUAAGUCCUCUUCUCUGUACCCUUUUCUCCUCUUGCUCCCACUUUCUCUCUCUAUGCUCUCAAAAAUAUCUUAUGAAUAAAAGUGUGAGGAAAUUUCUCAUAAGUGUAGGUUUUUAUACCAAGUCCCCUUAAUGGGCCUAACCUUCAACUUAAUGGACUUAACCCAUUUCUAUUCACAUCUAAAAUGUUUCUACACUCUAAUCGGUAAUUCACUAAUAACGGUCAAAUAACGGUAAAAUAUCACUAACGGUCACUAAACGGUAAAAUCUUAAUUUUACUCUAGUAAUUUAGUAAACCAACUAUUCUUACUAACCACUAAAAGUAAUUCUCACCAAAACUUAUAAUUUUACUCGUUCUCACAAAAUGAUCAAAAUACCCUUAAGUCCAAAAUGACUAAAAUACCCUUCUAACACGGAAACCCACAAAAAUGCACCCAAUGACGAAUAAUCACACACAAACACAUAAAACACAUAAUAAAAGUAAUUAAAAUAAAUCUAACGAAAAAUCGGGUUGUUACAUUUAUUAGGUACAACAAUAAUCAAGCAUCAUCCCACUAAGUGGGGUCAGCUAGAUGGAUCAAAUUGAAAUUAUGUCAUAGUUUUCUAUAAUAAACCAUAUUUGGAUCCAACCCAUUGACCUCUAAAUCCUUUUUAAUGGUCCCUCUUAUAGCUUUCUUAGGUCUUCCUCUACCUCUUUUGACCUGAAUCUCCUCCAUCUGAUCUACUCUAAAUCCUACUUACAACGGCAUCUGCAGGUCUUCUCCCUACAUGUUCAAAUCUUCUAAGUCUAUUUUCUACAAACUUUUCUAUUAUAGAUGAUACCUCACUCUCUUCCUAAUGGUGUCAUUCAUAAUCCUAUCCCGACUAUUCUUACCGUCCAACAACAUCGCAGGUCUGACUGAUGUUCGAUAAAAAAUUUCGAUAAAAUUUUCCUUCCAACUUAAGUGGUACUUUCUUAUCACACAAAACACAUGAGACUCUUUUUCAUUUCAACCGCCUAGCUUAAAUACGAUGAUUUACAUAUGCUUCUAUUUCUCCGUCAUUUUUUACUAUGGAUCCAAGAUAUUUAAACCGUGUAACUUAGAAUAUUUAAACUGUGCUUAUUAGGUACUACUAUUAAAAAACUAUAAAUGAAUAAUAUGUACACGUGUGACCCAUUUAAAUACUUAAAAAUGAGUGUCUCCAUUAUGAAUGCUCUAAUAUUGGGACUGAGAUUCCCUGUUGUAAAAAAGCACGAUGUUUUACCGUAGUUUUGCAUCUCAACCGUUAAUUGUAGAUCUUACAGUUUAAAUUAACUCAGUUGUCAAAUUAUUUUAAACAAUCUCGACCACACGAUUUAGAUCGAACAGUCCUAAACUGUUACGGCAGGAAAUCCAGAUCCUUGAUAGUAGUGCAUUCUUAAAAAGCACAUUGUUGUAGUUGGGACAUUUAGUUUUUCGAGAUCCAGAUCCUCUUUUCAAAUUACUAGAUGCAUUUUUUUUCUUCUUAAACAUACCACUUAAUUAAUACUACUAACCAGACUUAAAAUAUGAAAAAUUAAAUUUAAUACACAUAUAAACAAAUGACAAUUUGGUAAUAUUAACACACAAAACAGACACAUCAACUACAUUGAUAUUUUUUCUUAAGAAAUGUGAAAAAAAACAAAGAGGCUUACAUACCGGGAUGGAUAGAGUAUUAUAUAGAUAUAAAUCGAUUUUUGAAUUUGUUCUCUUUUUUUUUUCGUUAAUUAUUUUUGUUGCUGAAAAAUAACAGAUUGCAUGAACAACUUAUUUUUAAUUAAGUUGUUCUUAUGUAGUUCACAACCAAAACUAGGAUUUAUGUGUCUGCUCCGUUAUUUGAUCUGAGACUUAUCAUCUGUGUCUGGAACUAUAAUAAAUCUAAUUUAAAAGUGAGCUUCAUCCAUAACCAAAUAAAUAAGCAUAUGCACAAACAAGAUGAUUAAAAAUGAUUACUAAGUCUCUAAAUCACACCAAAAUAACAUCUUUAUUACAUUGUUUUGCAUCUAGAACUAUAAUAUUAUAGUUGACAUAGUUUUCCCACAUGUAUAAUACAUGAAAAAAUAGGCCACAACUUGUUAUGGUGUUGCAGUCAAAGGCACCCAAACUAGAUUAUCAGGAGGGAAGAAAUGACAUACUGGAGAGUUUCCAGGUUUUACAUUAAGCACACGAAAGGCGACAUGAUCGGCAUCCCAUUUAGAAGUAUCCAUGUGACAAAUUGCUGCAGCUUGAACAAUUCCUCCAUUUUCACCUUCUACUACAAUUUCAUACAAACUAGUAUCACCCUUUUGGCUGUGACAAUAGAAAACCGCAAAAGGGUAAGGCAUAGGGUGACACCCUACUGCAUUUGGAACUGAAAUUUCAUUCACUUUUGAAAUUGUGUAGUUCUGUAAAGGGAUAGAGGAUUUUGUGACAUGAGUUGUGGUCAAAACUUUGAAUUUUGAGUUGGGUCCAAACAUGUAAUUUGCAAAGUCAAACAAAGACUCUAAUGAUGUAGCACAGAAUUUUGUCUCUCCUUCCAUAGGUUCAAAAUUGCACUGUUCAAGUGUGUAUUUCAUGGCUUUGGCUUGUGGAGAGUUUUUUGAGAUGGAGAAGAAAUCUAGAAGGAAAGGUAGUUUUUUUGGUGUGAAAGGAAUUUUGUUAGCUUCUUCUUUUGGUAGGAAUUUUGGAGCUGUUGAUGAAUCUUUCUUGGAAAAAUAAAUUGGCAUUAUUUUUCCAACUUUUAAAUCCUUUGGAACGAAAAACACGUUCAAUUCAGGGUCUAUUUGAUUGUGAUGAUCCUUUGAAAUGAUCUCUUUGUGUUCAUCUUUUUUAUUCAUUUCUACAUGAUCAGAGUUUUCAAC
rnacentral:lncRNA from 1 species